GGGCAGUCACCUUCCUCACUGGUUCCACCUCCACCCACUUGGAGAACUUGUCGAUGGCCACGAACAAAUAUUCGUAACCGCCAACCGCCCUCGGUAGUUUGCCGACGAUGUCGAGCCCCCAGACCGCGAACAGCCAUGAGGACGGAAUGACAUGUAGGGCCUGCGCCGGCUGGUUACUCUUUUUCGAAUGGAACUGGCACGCUUCGCACGUCCUCACCAGCCGCUCCGCGUCAGCCAGGGCCGUGGGUCAAUAGAAGCCGUGCCGAAACGCCUUGCCGGCUAAAGCCCGGGAGGCCACAUGGUGUGAACAUGUGCCUCGGUGUAUUUCCUCCAACAGUGCGCGCCCUUCAUCCUGCGGCACGCAUAUGAGCUUGAAACCGUUCGCACGCCUGCGGUAGAGGUUCCCAUCCACCACAGUGUAUAUCUUGGCUUGCCGCGCUACUCGCUCCGCGGCGACGUCACCUUCCGGGAGAGCUUCCCCUUUCAAGUAGCGGGUGAUCUCUUCCGCCCAGGGGGGAAUCUCCCUGCCAACGCAUGCCGCAACAUCAGCGGCAUGGACCCCUGCUGCUGCAGGGGUUCUUUCGGUUGCCGGCGGGGCGUCCCCGGCAGCCGGCGGGGGGGUGACUGAAGGAGUCGCUUGCUUCUGACAGAACACCCCCGCCGGAGGCUUCCGGCGCUCUACUGCCAUCUUGGCCAGCUCGUCAGCAGCGAAGUUAUCCUUCCGCUUGACCUGCUCGAAGCGCAAACCCUUGAACUUUCGUUCUAGCUUGCGGACCUCCUCCACGUACGGCGCCAUUUGAGGGCAGUCGUAGUACUUGUUCACCUGGUUGAUCACGAGCUGGGAAUCACCACGAAGAACUAGGCGCUUAAUGUCGAGGGCGACCGCUGCCCGCAACCCAGCAAGCAGGCCCUCAUACUCCACCGUGUUGUUGGUGGAGUUCGCAAAGUCGAGUUGGACAGCGAACCUCAACUGGUCCCCUGUCGGUGACUCGAUGACGACUCAAGCGCCUGCUCCUUGAGGACAGAACUCACCGUCGAAGUAGAGGACCCAAUGGUCCUCAUCCAGCUUGCCGGGCAGGCUGGUCUCCGGUUCACUUUAUUCUACGCCUGUGGACGUCCAUUCCGCAACGAAGUCCGCCAAGGCCGUGCUCUUAAUGCUUUUAGAAGUUGCGAAGUGGAGUUCGAACUCCGACAACUCCAUCCUCCAUUCGACCACUCUCCCUGUGGCUUCACGGUUGGUGAGGGGCCGCUCAAGGCAGAACCCGGACACCACCGUGACGCGGUGCGCCUGAAAGUAGUGGCGCAGCUUGCGGGACGCAAGGAGAAUCCCCAGAAGGAGCUUCUGUACUUGCGGGUACCUCGUUCGCGCGUCGCGCAGCACGUACUAACGAAGUACACCGGGUGCUGCACCAACCGCUUCCGCGGUGCCAAGGGUGCCGACUCGGGGGUGGUCCCCGGGUCCGAGGCAGUUGCCGGGGGCCGCUCAGCCCCCUGCCCCGCAGCCCCAGUCCCCGGGACAUCUUCCUCCCUCUCGGCAACCAGCACCGAGCUAACCACCUGGUCAGUCCCCGCUAGGUAAAGUAGCAGCGACUCGCCCGGCUUGGGGGCGACGAGGACGGGCGGUGACCUCAGGUACUGCUUGAGUUCCCGGAACGCCGCCUCGGCCUCGGGAGUCCAGUUGACUGGACCCUUCUUCUUCAUCACCCUGAAGAAAGGAAGGGCACGCUCACCCAGCCUGGAGAUGAAACGUCCCAGCGCGGCAACACAUCCGUUGAGGCGCUGGACAUCCUUCACCUUGCGGGGGGCCUCCAUCUUCUCGAUGGCUUCUAUCUUGGUCAGGUUGGCCUGUAUCCCUCUAUGUGAAACCAAGAAGCCCAGAAGCUGCCCGGAGUUCACACUGAAGGUGCACUUAUCGGGGUUCAGCUUGAGCUUGAUCCUGCAGAGGUUGUCAAACGUCUCCCGCAGGUCAUCAAUCAGCGAGUGCCCACGCUUUGAUUUGAUGACGAUGUCGUCCAUGUAGGCCUCCGCAUUGCGGCCUAGCUGGGGCCCCAAGCAUUCACGCAGGGCGGGUUGAAAUGUGGAGCCCGCGUUCUUCAACCCGAAAGGCAUGCAUGUAUAACAAUAACAGCCAACCGGGGUGAUAAACGCUGUUUUUUCCUCAUCCUCGAGCGCCAUCUUGAUUUGAUGGUAGCCGGAGAAAGCAUCCAGAAAAUUCAGCAAGUCACAACCAGCGGUAGAAUCAACUAUUUGAUCGAUACGGGGUACAGGGAAGAGAUCCUUGGGGCAUGCGCGAUUAAGAUCAAUAAAAUCUACACACAUGCGAAGCUUAUUCCAUGCUUUAGGCACUACUACAGGGUUAGCCAGCCAAGUAGGGUACAGAACUUCCCUGAUUGCCCGGUAGCCUUGAGCUUGUCCACCUCUUGCUUGAUGAAAUCUUUACGCUCUUGUGCUUGCCGCCGAAUCUUCUGCUUGACGGGGUGCGCAUGCGGGCGCACCACGAGCCAAUGCUCAAUCACCUCCCUGGGGACUCCGGGAAAAUCCGACGGUUCCCAAGCGAACACGUCGGCAUUAUCCUGGAGGAAGGUGAUGAGGGCGCUUUCCUAUUCGGCAGUAAGGUUCGCACCGACGGUAACGGUGCGCUCCUUGUCGCCGGCUUGGAGGGGCAGCUUCAUCACCUUGGCGGCCUCCUCCCGGAGCCCCUGCCCCUUGCUGGGGCGCGAGCUCGAGCCUGCGCCUCCCCCGGCAAGCUCUUGCGGGGUAGCGCAAGCCUUCUUCGUUGCCGGGGCAUCGCCCGGCCAGCAGUCGUCCCCGGCAGCAUCCCCGUCGCCGGUGUCAGCUACGGCAGCGGCCCGGACGACUUUGCCAACGCACCAGGCCGCGUCCUUAAGGUCACACCUGAUGGAGAGGACUCCAUAGACGGACGGCAUCUUCAUCACGCCAUAGGCGCAAUGCGUGGCCGCCAUGAACUUGAUCAGCGCUGGCCGACCAAGGAUCCCGUUGUAGGGCAACGGGGUAUGCGCCACGUCGAACACUACGUGUUCAGUCCUGAACGCUUCCAGAGACCCGAAGGUGACCGGCAGCGUGAUGCGUCCCAGCGGGCGCACGAUCCCGGAGUUCACCCCCCGGAACGGGUCGGUGGGCUUCAGCUGCUCCACCGGCAGCUGGAGCUUUUCCACCCGCCUGGCGGACAUGAGGUUAAGCCCCGCUCCGUUGUCCACCAGCACCUUGGUCACCGUCAUAUUGCUAAUGAUCGGCGAGACGACGAAGGGUAUUAGCCCUGAACCCAGCUGUCGUGCUGGGUGAUCGUCGGCGCUGAAGGUGAUUGGCACGUGUGACCACCUCAGCGGCUGUUGCGGCUCCGCAUCCGGCAAAAGCGCGCACACGCCGCGGGUGAGGCGCUUCACCGCGGUGUGUGCUGAGAGAGCGUAAGCUCCCCCAUGGAUGCAGGCGACACCGCGAGGCUCCUGGAAGCCCGGCUCGUCGCCGCCAGUACAGUCGGACUCGCGCUGCUCCUCAGCGCGUGCCCUGUCGCGUCCCCGGGGUGGGCGUUCCCGCCCAGCGCGAGGCUGACCACGCCCCCCUUGGGGUUCAUCCCUGCCAGCACUGCCGCCGGCAGGCCUCGGCCCCGUCCUGGGGUCGUUCGGGCAGUCUCGGGAGAGAUGCUUGAUGUCGCCACAGUUGAAGCAGGCACCGGCGGCGCGGCGCUCCUCAUGGCGCUGCUCCCGCCGCUGCUUGAUCCCCUACAGAACGUGGCAGUUCUGCGUGUCGUGGGUGGAGUUGCUGUGGAUGGGGCAGCGAGGCGCGUCGCCCUGCUUCCCACCAGACCAGCCACCCGGCGAGGCCUUCUUCACGGGCCUCGCGGCAGGAGCCCCCGAGUCCGCAGCGAGAACUUGCUUCCCGCUGCGCUUGCAGGAACCCUUCUUCUGUGAGCCCUCGCCAGGGCUCGCGGCAGCCUUAGCUGCUAGCUCGGGCGCUAGGCGCCCUUCCUCGGCCAUGGCGCAUUUGUGCGCCAAGGUGUACAGGUCCUGCGUCAUCCGGAUCCGGUGCGUGCUCAGCUUCUCGCGCAUCUUGGGAUCGCGGACGUUGAUGGCGAAGGUGUUGAUGAUGGCGGCCGCCUCCACCUCCGCCUCUAGGAUGGAAUAGGAGAGGUUGGAGAAGCGGUUGACGAAGGCCCGCAACGUCUCUCCCGGCUUCUCCACGAUAGUGUGCAGCUCCGCCAUGGUUCCCGGGCGCUUAUAGCUGCCCUGGAACGCGCUCAUGAACUGCCGCGCAGAUCUGCCCAAGUGGCGAUGGCCCUGGCGGGCAGGUUGAGCAGCCAGGUUUGCGUUGAUUCUUUCAAGACCAUCGAGAACCAAUUGGCCCUGACCUUGUCGUCGGCGCCGAUGGCGCUUGGAACUUACGGGGCCACGUCACCCGCCGCAGCUCGUGUGUGAACGUGGUGCAACCGUCCUCAGGGCCCAUGGGAGCGUCUUCCUGCUCCUGUGGGCGCUGGCGCUCUACCUCGCGCCUGCGCUGGUGCUCCAAGCGCUGACGCAAAUCCUCCUGCUGGCGGGCACUCAAAAUGCCUCGUGCAUCACCCCUCAGAACGGUGGGCGACGAGUUCGAGGACCCCUCUGGGCCCCCGUCUCCUUGGCCUCCCGACGGAGGGGGAGGAUUCUCCCCCUGUCGCGAGGCGGGUGGCGCGUCCCCGCGCUCCGGGUUCUGCCCAUGGCCGGAGCCUACCGGGGCGCCCUCGCCUUGCGGCUGCUGGGCUGCCAGGGCGAGAAGCGCUUCUAUCUCCACGCCCCACGUCUCGUGGGCCGGCAUCCCCUGUUGCGGCUCGUACCGCACCAUGACGCGCACGGCGAUGAUGGCUUCCGCCAGGGUUCGUGGGGGGGGGGGGGGGGGGGGCAGCCGGUUUCCUGAGCGGCUGCUUCCCGCUCUGGCCCCGGACGCCUCCGGGUGCGCAGGGUGCGAACCCCCCAAGGUCGCCCGCGACGCGGUGUGCUCCUGGUGUCGCUGUCGCGCAGCAUCGUCGGCCCGCGACUCAACCCGCUGCCCGGCGCGGGCGGCACCGUGCGUGCUCGCGCAACUGGCCCCAGCACUGGGAGCAGCCGGUCCCCUCGGCCGAUUGUCGGCAGACGGCCGAGGAGGCGGGGGAAGCAGCUGCGUUUGCUGCACCCUCGAGGGCUCGAGUUCUCCUGAGCCCCCGACUCGGGUCGCAUGUCAUGCGACCGCGUGUGCGCCGCUGGGGCUUCACGCGGGUCAAUACGAGGAUCACCGGCCCGCUUGGGGGGCAUGGCCACUAGUCCGGUCGGCGAAGAAAGCGAGGCCGACGUCGAUGCGAACGAUGCUGCCGGCGACCACCGGCAUGCUCUUCUCCCGCGCCCCCUACCUGGCGCGCCAGAUGUCGUCGCACGGUGCUCCGACAUUGGGGGCGUGCGGUCACGGCCCCCUUUUAGGUUCGGUAGGGGCGUCGGGGUUCGCCCCGGCGAUCGCCGGCACGGCCGAUGAGGCCCUGCGGGGCCGGCGAAAUGAAGUACUGAAAGUGCGCGCUAAUCAAUGAACAGAUGCACGCACGUUUUUACCUAGGUUCGGGCCACCCGGAGGUGUAAAACCCUACGUCCUGCUUGUCUGAGCUGGUAUUGGAUUAAAAUCAAGCGUUUACAGGUUGCCGGGUGAGUUCCCGGGCUCUCUCUCUCUCACUAGAUGCUCCUAACUAUCCUCUGGUAAUGCAAGAGGCUAACUGUGGGCUGAUCGAACCGAACCCUACUGCCUACUGGAGUCAACUGAGAGUCCAACUGAACCGAGCGAACCAAAACCCAACCCUCUGAACGUUGGCGAGGGUCCUCCUUUUAUACUCAAGGGGAUGCCACAGGUGCCACGGUGCAUGAGCUACAAGUGUCGAGCGGGGAGGCAUACAACUCCCCCCGGUGAGCUGGUGGCGCGCAUGGAUGCCACCUCCACCGCUAGGGGUCUAAAACCCUAGAGUAGGACUGGACAGCCACUGUUCCCUUGAUCGGAUAGGUAACGCCCCGUCGGUCGGCUCAUUUAAUGAGCCGUGCGCCUUACUCCUCGCCCCGGUGGGGCCGCGCAUCCCACGCCCGCCACGCGCCCACAUGGCGCUGUUGAUCUGGCUACUCGGCCCCACGCUUGAGGCAGGGGCAUGCGCCCGGGAACCCCCUGUCCCGGCAAGUCGAUCCCCGGGAAGUCGCCCGGGCCGAACGCACCCGGGAACCUUCCCCGGGAAGCGGCUUCCCGGGAGGUGCCCAGGCGGGAAUAUUCCCCGAAGCCCCGCUAGCCCCUUCCGGGCUGGUAGCUUGCCGGGCUGCUCAUAGAUGCUGCCCGGGAUGUUACAAUCUACCCCCCUUAAAGGAAAUCUCGUCCCGAGAUUUGGCAAGGCUAGAGGAGAAGGUUCACUCGUCUAUCACUUGCGAUCCUUAUGUCCUGUGUCUCUCACGUAGGGUAAGGUGUAGGAUUCUUCCUAACAAAGUACCUACAAGUGUAGUGGCUUCCUUGCUUGCAACUUCAGCAGAUAAGUCCAUUUAUGACACUGCAUAAUCUUCUCUUAUGUGUGGCUAGGAAUCCUUUUGGUACUACCUCCAAUCAUACUCUUUUUUUUUCUUCUUCCAAGGUCUUCAAUCUUGGAUAAAUUCUUGACGACCAUUGGAGGGGUCUAUCCUAAAACGUUCUGUCUUGAGGAAAUAAUUUCUUUAAUCCAAAUCUCACACUUGCUGAACUCGGCAUAGAGAUUUUGGUUUUUCCAACACAUUCCGAAGAUGCGUCUUCUUGUUUUCUCCUACUUGCUUCAUCAUGGUGUAGAGUGGGCAUUGAGCCGACGGUGGUUCAUUCCUUCACAUGGGUUAUGACUCAAAUUGCAGAUUUCUCAUUCCAUCUUGGUGGUCAAUAGCACAACUCGAAUGAUUGGCUCAGUGCUUCCUGGAAGGGCAAAAUAUCUCCUUAUAGGCUAGAUGCUUUCUCGGAACAUCAUCUUGCUUCCUCACUUUGCUGACCAACUACUAGGUUUUCAGAUAGGAAAGAAAGGAUCUAAGGGGAAACAAAACGUCUAUUACCCCAAACAGCAAAGGUUUUGUUAUCAAAAUAAUUUUAUUUGCGGCUGUCAAUAAAUCUGGAAAAAAAUGACACCCCACAAUCGUGUUAUCUAACGGUUAACUAUAUACAAAGGGGUUAUAAUCCUAUCAAGGUCAUCUCGAGAUCUUCCAUUUCAUCACAACUUUAUCGGUCAAAAACAUCAGGCAUCCUUGUUGAAAUCUUGAUGCGGCAUCGCUCCACUGGUCAUCUCCAUCUUCUCAGGUAAGAAUAUUUUUUUUGAAAAGGAGACGGAUGUUUGAAAACUUCCGAAAUGGGGGUAAGUCUUGAAAGAGUAGAUGAGUAGAGAAAUAUGAGAGGUUUCAUAGAUAUCUAGUUUUGCAAAUGAGUCCUUAGGUCUUGUUGAAGGUACCUCUAAUUCUUUUGAAAAGGAAAGGGAUGAUGGAAUUAUUUUAAGAUAAGGUGAGAGUACGAAAGAAUAGAUGAGAUCAAAGAAUACUGGAGAUUUUGUAAAUACUUAGUUUUUUUGAGAUAAGUCCUUAUGGUCCAUCCAAUCUAGGGUCACGAAUCUACAGGCAACACAAUGCUCUGAUACCAUCUAAAGCGAUCCUCCCCCUUACAGGGUUCGAUCUCUGUGCUUACUAUGCUAGUCCCUCGAUCGACUCGCUAGCACACAUAGUUUCAAGAUGUAAUAUCAAGAUACAAAGGUCAAAAGUAUAUUACAUCGCAUUGAUCCAGAAUUUAAUAGUACCUUACAUAUUCCAUAACCUCAUGGGUUAGCUCAAUAGAAAAGGAAAUCUUGCAGCGGAAGGCAGAAGAUAUAGGAGUCCCAUAAAAACUCCACAGUCGAAACAUGUUGGAAUGUAAACUCACAACCCUAACAAUUCGCACCUCACUCUUCACCUGGUUCACCUGCAACAUUUAAACGUUGCAGCCACUAGGGGGUCAAUACAUUGAAUGUAUUGGCAAGUUCACCAAAGGGUUAUAACAGAACCUAUCAAGUACAUGCAGUAUUUGGCAAGGUGGAGUUCAGGCUAUUUGCAUAAAAGCGUCAAGGUUUAAUCCUAUCAUUUUUAACCAAAAUAGUUUUGAAUUCUAUUGGACACGGGGUAGAAACACCCAUGCUCCUAUUAACCUAGGCACAUUGAGUAGAAACAUCAAUGCUCCUACCCAGUUCAAACCAUUCAUUUUAUUAGGAAAUUGGAAUGAGUGAGACCUUCCUUACAGCUCCAAUAUCUAGUUGCUCAUAAUUGUCCGUAACCGGGGACACGGCUAAGUACUUAGUUUGACACUCUCGAGAGGUGGUACACUUUACCCACAAGAAAUGGACGUGUUAAUCCCUUGCUGUCCUCAGGGUAGAAUAGCAACGGCAUCGACUACAGGAAUUUUCAGAACAUAAUCCCCCAGACCACCUGAGGGACGCGCCCCCACCUACAAUGCUACAUACCGAUGUCACCUCGGAUCCGAGUUCAUAUUUCUUACAUCCAUCCUGGCAGAGCCCAUAAUACCAUGUGGUUGUACUGGAAGCUACUAAACAGGAAACUAGUCCAGUCUCUGGUUACCCCGGGUGGCAUCCCACAUUGUGACGCAGGCGCUCCCCGAAUCGCACAGGGAGACGACCAUGGACGCUCCCGAAUCGCACGGAGAGACGACUCAGCGGGCCCCAUGGAAAUGGACCUAACGUCACGACAUCCAAAAACUCAGAGCAGCCCACCCAGAACGAUUCAUUGAAUUACUUGUUUUGCCAUACACUAGGAAAAAUCAUAAUGUAGUUCAAUAGUAUCACAUUGUAAUAAUACCACCCUUGUAUAUUAUCAUAGCAUAGCAUUUUACUACUACGAUGGCAAUUGGUGGUGAAGUCAUGACAAAGGGUAUCCUAUACUACUAGGACAGAUCAUAGCUAGCAUAGAUACAGUAAUAAUCCUAACAAUGCAACUAAUAAAAUCUAGUGCAUAAUAAAAUAAUGGGUAAAUGAUCAAAGUGAACUUGCCUGAUUAGUGUCUUUGUAUUAUUCUUCUUUUCGAUACUCACAGUUACCGCACUCCGUAUAAUCUAUCGCGAAGAACUCCAAAUCAUAACUCCAAAUAAAGAACCAAAACAAUAUACAAAGUUCAGAUUAAACAGUACCUAACUACUGUUAGGCUAUCCUAGGCAUAGAUCUAAGAGGUAGGAACAAGGUUGGGACAAAAGCGGAGUUGGAACGGAAUUGAUUUCGUAACCUACGGGGUGUUAAUGGAUACAAUUUUCUAGGGGUCAUGAACUACUGUAGAUUAACUUUCGAAAGUGUACAAAGUGGUCCAGAAAUUAGAGUUUGGUGUACUCUUGUCACAACAGAAAGAAUGAACUGGUUUGAAAAUAUGGAUCAACAUGUAUGGGCUUUGGAACAUUGCUAAUCAAUAAGACAGUGUUAACAAAUACAAAGUUUGGUUGGGCUUUGGCUGUUUGGCAAAUGGUGCUAAAUGGCAGAACAUGGGAUGAAAAGUAUACUACUGUAUAGUAUUAAGAUUUUACUUGCUAACCCAACAAGUCUCAUCCCAAAAGGAUCUACAGAGAAUUAACUACUGGCUUGCAAAGCUGGCUAAUCUGAUUCUGACAGAUUAAAGAUACUAACUUAUACUGAAAAUGUACUGGUGCUAAUGGCUUCAAAAGACACAGGGCCAAUGGGAUGAAUUAAACUAGGUCUAACAAGCUUUCAAAAUCCACUGGUAUAACAUAAAUAGGAGUUGUGAGUCAAAAGAUACAGGCUUAAAAAAACAGGCUAAUCUAUAACAAAGUUUCUGUAACUAAAGGCUUAGAAUUGGCAGUGUGGGAAACUGCUGAAGGUACUGUUUUGCAAUGAUGAUGCACCUAUGUAGAAAAGACUUAACUUGUGCACCAAGCACACUAAUGUGUAGAACAGGAUCUAAUUGAUGAACUACAGAAGGUUUGGAACCAAACAGAUCAAUGGAACAAUUUAUAUUAAUUUCGAAAGGUGGCUAAUCCAGAAACAGCAUACUGUGAAUAGCAAUUUCCAACGAAGAUGCCGUACUGAAGAUCAUGGAGACGGGGUAUACAAUCUGGUCUAGUCUAGAGAGGUGGACGUGCUCUAACUACAACAGAAAGAUUCGGCCGCAAAAGAUUCACAGAUCAAAAUAUAUAGGCUUCUAAACAUGGCUAAUCAAAACUGCUGCCGCUGAAAAGUUGCUCACCGGAAAAGACACAGAGUUCGCCGGAGUUGAAGGAGGACGGCGAUGAUGUCGACGUAGCAUUCGAUGGGGCCGUGGAAGACGUCGAGGCGGACAUCGUGACGCGGUUUUCGGGGUCGAGGGCGUCUCCGGACGGCGACGGGCAGAGCUCCGGGCGCGGCUUUGGCAUGGGGUCGGGGACGGCGCGGCUAACGGCGUCAAGAGGUCACGAAACCUUGUCACAAAGGUAGGUAAGGGUCACAUGAGUCUACCGGUGAAAGGAAUCGAAGAACGGUGGUUCAGGGUGAUCUCACCGGGAACAAUGGUGGCGGUGACCGGCGAAGGAAGACGUCGACGUAGCCGGCUAUACAGAGGUUUUGAGCCCAAACUUUCUACAUGGGAAAGGGAGAGGAGAGGCAAAGGCUCAAAGUGACGGGCGUGGAAUCCUUUUAUAAUGGCCGAGGAGGGAGAUCGGGCGCGGGAUUCGACGGCCGGCAUUCGGGGCGCCUCUUUUGGAAACUGCGAUUAUGAGAGAAAACUUCAAAUUGGUUGCCUGAAUGGGUUUCCGGGAUGGUGCGGAUUGAUGGGUUGGUUUCCUUUCGAAGAGAGGCGCGCGGCAAGGAAAGAAAUCGAAGAAAGAAAAUAUGGAAGGAAGGGUUUCCUUAAGUGCAGAGGAGGAAGAACGAGCACGAGCUCGUGCUCGGCUGGGCUGGGGCGUUCGGUGGAGAUGGGCCGGCCCAGUUUGGGUCGGUCGCUUCUCUUUUUCUUUUUCCUUUUUUUUCCAUUUCUGUUUUUAUUAAUAACUUUUGAUUACUAACUCCAAAUAAGUCCAAAUAAACUCCAGUAAAUUUGUAAAUUCAAAUCUUCCAAAGUGUGAACUUUUGGGACCUGAAUCCUUUCAAAAUAAAAUAAGUAAAAAUACUUUUGCUUAUAUGAAUGUCAUUAGAGCUUUAUAAGUAAUAAAUAAAAUAGGUUUUGACAUCUAUUAUGAAACCUUUGUUUCAUAAAUUAGUUUAAACUCCAAUAAAAUAUUGGGUUGGCAUAAUUUGCACUAAAACCCUUCCUUAGCUAAAUACCCCAUUGGGUUGAACUCCAAAUAAAAUCUUAUAAUAAUUAUAUGGUUCACUAAAUUCCCAAAUAACUUUAUAACACCAAAUCACAAACCAUGUAAACCACCGCAGAUGUUUCCAACUAUAUAUAUAUAUAUAUAUAUUUGGGAAGUCAUGUUAUUCCACUCUCAACGACAGAAUAAAUGUUGGAAUAACAUUUGCACAUGAGGAUGUCACGUUAUCCUCUUCUCGAAUAUUUGAUAACUUCUUCUCGAAAACAAAAUUAACAUGUCAAAAUAAAAAUCGAGAAAACAUAGGUACAUCAUUAAAUAUGUUUCCAACCUUAUAAGUAGGAAAGUCAUAUUAUUCCCUCUCUUUAUCAUUUAGAUAAAUGUUGGAGAACAUUUUUGAUCGAUUUAAAUAUUCCAACGAUGCUCUCAAUUGUCAUGGCAUCCAAAUUGGAAUCUUAGUGUGUUAGUAAAUCCUUCAGAAAGAAAAUAGGAUUUAUUAAGAUGCGAAUAAUAGUCUGGAAAAAAUCAUAAUAUGCAAAUGGUUCCAAAUAGAAUACUUUGAACUUAUAUAAAUGUUCCCAACCAUGUUGUAUAAUUUGGAUAGUCAUAUUAAUCCACUCUUCUGUUGAAUAUCUCAAUCACUGUGUAAUGAUGAUGUGGAGUGAUUUUGGAAACUUGGCAAAACAACCCUAAUGAACCAUCCUGGGUGGACUGCUUUGAGAUUUUGAGAUGUUAUGCGACGUCAGGUCCAUUUCUAUGGGUCCCUCUGAGUCGAGUCUCCGUGGAUUCGGAGAUGGAUCGUCCAUGGACGUCUCCCCGUGGAUUCGGGGAGCGCUUGCGUCGCAAAUGUGGAAUGCCACCUGGGGUAUCAGAGACUGGACUAGUUUCCUAUUUAAUAGCUUCCAGUACAACCAAGAGCUAAUAUGGGCUCUGGCUGGAUGGAGUAAGAAAUGUUUACCCAGAUCCAAGGGAUGGUACGGAGGUAGUUGUGUAGGUGGGAGCGCGCAUCCCUCAGGUGGUCUCGGUGAACAUGUUCUGAAAAUUCUUGAAGUCGAUGCCGUUGCUACUCCACUCGGAGGACAGCAAGGGAUUAACACGUCGAAUUCUUGUGGGGAAUGUGUACAACCUCUCGAGAGUGUCAAACUAAGUACUUAGCCGUGUCCCCGGUUACGGACAACUAUGAGCAACUAGAUAUAGGGGCUGUAAGGAAAGUCUCAUCAUUCCAACUUCUUAAAUAAAAUGAAUGGUUUGAACAGGGUAGGAGCACUUGAUGUUUCUACUCAAUGUGCUCUAGGUUAAUAGGAGCAUGGGUGUUUCUACCCCGUGUCCAUUAGUUAAUAAUAUUGUAACAUUCAAUUGUAAUAAGAUAAACUAUGCUUUUGCUACCACGCCAUAAAGCCUAAACCCCACUAUACCUCAAUUGCAUAUACUUGGUAGGAUCUGUUAUAACUUCCAGGUGAGCUUGCCAAUACAUUCAAUGUAUUGACCACGUAGUGGCUACAAUUAAUAAUGCAGGUGAAUCUGACGAAGAGUGAGGUUCGUCGAUGUUCUUUGGGUCAUGUGCUUACAUUCCAACAUGCUCUCUCCUCUGGGAGUAGAUGAGGCCCAUUUGCUCUACCUUUCCGCUGCAGUUUUAUGAUACAAUGUUAUCAUGGUUUUGAAACAAUAUCUGUUUAUGCUGGCCUAAGAGGUCAUGCAAGUUUGUAAGUACCAUUUAAGUUCUGGAUGAUACGAUGUAAUAAAGUACUUUUGACCUUUGUAUCUUGGUAUUAUAUCUUGAACUGUGUGUGUUAGUGAGUCCAUCCAGGGACUAGCACAAAUAAGCACAGAGAUCGAACCCUAGUAAGGGGGCGGUCGCUUCACCUCCACAGGUGGAUAUGCUAACCAGGUUCUUGCGUUUGGACCCACCCACCUUCUCCAGUUCACCUAAACCAAUCGUGGCGGACGACUGGCUCCGCUCAGUUAAUAAGAACUUGGUGACCAUCAACUACACUGAGGAUGAGAAAGUGCGGUUUGCAGCCCAUCUGCUUGAAGGACCGGUUGCAUCGUGGUGGAAAAAUUACUAGAUCACCACCCCCAUCGAGCAAGUCACUUGGGACAUGUUCCAAGAAGCUUUCCGCACCGCCCACAUCUCAGCGGGGGUGCUUAAUUUGAAGAAGAUGGAAUUCCUGCGGCUCAGACAGGGAAGCCGCACAGUGGUCGAGUUCAUCGACCAGUUCAAUAGCCUCGCCCGCUAUGCGUCGGACGAGGUGAACACGGAUGCUGCUCGAUUGCUCGCCGGAAAAGCUCGCCGCCGCCGAACGUUUUUGGUCACCGCCGAUGACCCGGUACGGCAUCGACCUCCCCUCCUCUCCUACUCGCUUCCUCUCUCCCUCGCGCACCCCCUGACGCGCUUUCUUUUCUUUUUCGUGCACCGCAGCACCUCGCCGACGUGAACCCGGAGCAUCGCCGCCACCCGCCGCCUUCAAGUCGUCCUAGGCGUCGAUUCCGUCGCCCCCGAGGAACGCCAACCCCGUCAUCGUCUUCGCCGUGCCGCACCGCUUCGUCUCCACGCGCUUCCCCGACCCGAAAUCUUCGCCGGAACCGCCCGCCGCCGCGUCCCCACGUCACCGGAAUCUUCGCCAGAACCCUAGCGCCGCCGGUAAUCUCCCAUGUUCAAUCUCAGCCAUUCAUUUUUCAUCAACGGUUACGAUUAGAUCCUGUUAAUUACUUUAAGUGAACCGAGACCGACGAAUCACGUGACGACACGUGGCACUAUAAUAGAAAAGGAAAAUGUAUUUUUUAAUCCCGGAUUUGAUUUAAAUGGCACUUUUGCAGAAAAACCCUAGAACUUCAAAUGCUUAUAACUUUUAAACCCUUUGGCCAGAUUUGACAAAUUUUACCUUUCUGGAAAGCUCUUGACCUGUAGAAUCUUUUGGCACUGUUUGAAUUUAAAUUUGAAUAUCUGAAUCACAGUCAAUUUAUAGAAAGGCCUUUUAUGCCAUGUAAUUCAUAACUAAUUAUUAAGAAAUCCUUUUUAAUUGAAACCAGUGCCCAAAAAUUUCUUUUAUUAUCCUCUGUCCAUUGGGACAGAGACAUAAAUAUUUUGAAUUAAAUUAUUUGGCUGAUGCCAAUGAAACUAUAAUUUAGGGUUUUAAUCAAUUGUUUUUCCUUCUUGGUUAAAACCCUAAUGCAUUUGUUUUAAUUACCAAUGCUUAGGACCAGUUGAUCACCCGAAUAAAAUAAACCAAUGCUUGUCACAUGUUGCAUCGCAUCAUAGCAUAUCUUAUUUUGUCGUGAUGUGAAUUGUGAGUUUAUGUAUGUGUAUGUUGUUUGUUUCGUGUAGUUUUCUCGGAGAGCGAACCUUGUGAAUGUGACGAGUGUUUAAACUCCAACCGCUACCAAGGCAAGUUCACUUUGAUCAUAUCCUAUUACUGUUUGUUUUUAAAAUACUUAUGCAUUAGAGUUGUUUGUAGAAAUGCAUUGAUAGAACUAUUACUCGUACUUAUGCUAGCUAUGAUUGACCUACCAGCUAUAAGGUUACCUUUGCCAUGAAUCCUCCACCAAUAGCCAUCGUGAUUAGUAUUGCUUAGCCAUGCUAUGUUAGUAAACGUGGGAGGGAAUCUCAAUCACUGUGUAAUGAUGAUGUGGAGUGAUUUUGGAAACUUGGCAAAAACAACCCUAAUGAACCAUCCUGGGUGGACUGCUUUGAGAUUUUGAGAUGUUAUGCGACGUCAGGUCCAUUUCUAUGGGUCUCUCUGAGUCGAGUCUCCGUGGAUUCGGAGAUGGAUCGUCCAUGGACGUCUCCCCGUGGAUUCGGGGAGCGCUUGCGUCGCAAAUGUGGAAUGCCACCUGGGGUAUCAGAGACUGGACUAGCUUUCCUGUUUAGUAGCUUCCAGUACAACCACAUGCUAAAUGGGCUCUGGCAGGAUGGAUGUAAGAAAUAUGAACCCAGAUCCGAGGGAUUGUACGGAGGUAGUUGUGUAGGUGGGAGCGCGGGUCACUCAGGUGGUCUGGGUGAAUAUGUUCUGAAAAUUCUUGAAGUCGAUGCCGUUGCUACUUCACCCGGAGGACAGCAAGGGAUUAACACGUCGAAUUCUUGUGGGGAAUGUGUACAACCUCUCAAGAGUGUCAAACUAAGUACUUAGCCGUGUCCCCGGUUACGGACAAUCAUGAGCAACUAGAUAUGGGGGCUGUAAGGAAAGUCUCACUCAUUCUAAUUUCUUAAAUAAAAUGAAUGGUUUGAACUUGGGUUUAGGAGCAUUGAUGUGUCUACUCGAUGUCCUUAGAUUAAUAGGAGCAUCAGUGUUUCUACCCGGUGUCCAUUAGUUAACAAUAAUGUUGCAUUCAAUUGUAGUAAGAUAAACUAUAUUUUGUUACCACGUCAUAAAUCCCGAACCUCACAAUACCUCAAUUGCAUAUUCUUGGUAGGGUUUGUUAUAACUUCCAGGUGAACUUGCCAAUACAUUUAAUGUAUUGACCACGUAGUGGCUGCAAUCAAUAAUGCAGGUGAAUCUGACGAAGAGUGAGGUUCGUCGAUGUUCUUUGGGUCAUGUGCUUACAUUCCAACAUGCUCUCUCCUCUGGGAGUAGUUGAGGCCCAUUUGCUCUACCUUUCCGUUGUAGUUUUAUGAUACAAUGUUUUAUGGUUUUGAAACAAUAUUUGUUUAUGCUAGCCUAAGGGGUCAUGGAAGUUUGUAAGUACAAUUAAGUCUGGAUGAUACGAUGUAAUAAAGUACUUUUGACCUUUGUAUCUUGGUAUUACAUCUUGAAACUGUGUGUGCUAGUGAGUCGAUCCAGGGACUAGCACAAAUAAGCACAGAGAUCGAACCCUGUAUGGGGGCGGUCGCUUCAUUGACGAACCAUACAAUGUGUCAUAUGCAACAUUCCUUUUGCCUCACGAUAUGUGUGUCGAGCUCAAGGCGAGUGCUUGUCAUCCUUGUGGAUAGCUCGACUCCCUUCUCGUUCCUGUGAUACAGAUUCCCGAACGAGUUAACACUUAACCCAAGUCGCAUGGCCAUGCUUUCCAAAUCUGAUCACUCGAGAGGGCCCAGAGAUAUCUCUCCGAACAGGACGGGCAAAUCCCAUCUUGAUCAACCAUGACUCGCACCAUGCUUCUCAGCAAACCCGAAAGCGACCUUUAUAACCACCCAGUUACGGAGUAGCGUUUGGCAACCCCUAAGUAGGCCGAUUCACAUCCCAAGCUCAUGCGCUGACCUCAGGUCUAGGACUGGCAUAUACAUCGUACUUGAGACUAACAAAUGACAAUCAUCUCGUUGUGUCUCAGUGCGGGUCUGUCCGACUCCACAAUCUCAUUGUCGAGUCCAUGCUAUCAGUCGGCAACACCUUGCCCUAUGACUUGUGAAACAUAGUCAUCAUACUGAUUCACAUUGCUAGUCUAGGUUAUGUGUCCGCAUAACCUCAAUGACCAAGGACCAUUAGAACAAUAUCAUAGAAUACAUAGUCUCACAAACAAAUCAUGUAUUUAUUGAUAGAUAUCAGUGAUGAUGUUCAAGGACAAUAACAAUAACUCAUGAAUACAUAGGAAAUAACAUCAUCACAUGAUUUCCCUUAGGGCAUAUCUCCAACACUACACGCCAUUUUUCCUCGUAUACGGGGCAGAAGCUGUCUUACCAACCAACAUUGAACAUGACUCCCCGCGAGUGACCAUGUAUACAAAGGCCGAGGUAAAAGAGGCCCGAGAAAAUGAUGUCGACCUGCUCGAAGAAGCACGGGAAUUGGCUCUAUCUCGGUCGGCCAUCUAUCAACAACACCUAAGGCUUUAUCACAGCCGGAGGGUAAACCCGCGAGUAUUCUGGGAAGGAGACCUCGUGCUUCGACUUGUGUAGCGCACAGCCGGCAUGCAUAAACUUUCACCCCCAUGGGAAGGACCCUUUAUUGUGAGCAAAGCGUUACACAACGAUUCCUACUAUCUUAUAGAUGCGCAGGAUCCCAAAGAAAACAGGAUGGACAGGUCAGGCGAGGAGACCAAGAGGCCAUGGAAUGUAGCUUUGCUUCAUCCGUUCUAUACUUAAGAGAUGAGUAUUUGUAUCGUUUUUUCCUUAUGUUGAGUGUUUUGAGACAAUGAAAUUUUCCGCCGGGUUCUCAAAAGGAACUCGGAGACUUCCAUGCUAUUUAAGUUUUAUAUUGCAAUUAUCUUUUGUAUGUCGGCAUGGCUUAAUUGUGUAAUCUUAUGUUGGUUUAGUAGUGUGUCGGUAUUGAAAAUCCCCUCUAUGACUUCGCUGUUGUCCGCAACCCGGCUUCAUGGCAAGCUAGAGACGGGUACGAGAUAACUAAACACAUGAAAAGCGAUUGCGAAAACAAACAAGGAAGCGAGCCAGAUGCGCGUUGUUUUACUUAACCCGGCAUUUCUUUCCUAACUCAGGUAUUGCCCAGUGAAUUUGUCGAGUUUAAUUUUUCGAAAGGGUUGUUCUAUGACUCCGCGAUUCAUACGUUGAGCGCCGAUAAGGCAGACAAAAGAACCGAAGUCAUAAAAUUUCAGCAACAGAAAAGAUAGACUCGGGGACUCGAUUGGGAACUCGGUAAUUAAAAGACUUGACUAAAUUAAAAGUAUGAUGCUUCACAAACAAAAGUGUUAUAAUUCGGUUACAUCUGCACCCGGCAUCCCAGGAAUCUGAUAAUCUUAAAGUAUUUUUCUAAACAUGCCAAAGAAGAGACGGAAGGACUGUUGGCGGCAGAACUCGCCGCAUCCGUUGCAGUGGAAGCCGACUCGAUGACACUCUCUUCGUCGACUGCCUCCUCGUCUUCUUCCACGGCCAUCUCUGCCUCUGCUUCGGAUACCGAGCCCUUCACAAACUUAUGCACGUCGGCAUAUUGGAUGAAGAAGUAGGCCCGCUCCUGCCGCUUUGCGAUAAGCUCCGGAUCCGAGAGGUAGGAGGAGCCGACACGCAUCGACUGCAACCACGUCGAGGUUGAUGCCGUCAUACCAAGAAAGUACAAACAACAAGGCCUCGUCAGUGCCGACACGAGAGGCCGACUCCCGCCAUUCAUUAAGACGAUCCUCCACCUCCAGAAGGCGCGUUGCCAACUCCGGGAUGUCGGCCGGAGUUUCUUCUCCUGGCCACAAAGCUCGAAAGGCCCGGAUGCCGACGUUGAGCAUGUUCACCCGAAGGACUUCAGAGGCUUUACCCGGCUCGCAAUGCUAACCAGGAAAUCCACCAAGUCGUAUUCGAAGGGUUCUGUCCCGGCUGGAUCCCUCCUUUUACGGGCUUUAAUCACAGCAGCUUGGGCGGUCUCGACAGAUUGUGGAAAAAAUUCUAACAAAGGCAAAAAGAUAGUAAUGAGUCUCGACACCCUAUUGCUAUUAACGGACAGGUGAUCAGAGGAAGAGAUUUGGACAACGGCCACUUACUAGUCAGCAUGGCGUUUUGACGAGGUCACGCCGGUACACGCUGACCAGGGGGGCGUUCUCGGCUUUUCCUUCUCGGCAGUACUGGCGCGGGUCUCGACCUCGGCAACGAGAUCCUUGCAUUUCUGCACCUCGCCUUCUAGGCGGAUCUUCUCGUCAGCUUGGGCGGAGAGGGCCGAGGUCAGUUGACCUACCUCGGUCUUGUGCGCCUCCGCCUGAGCUUCAAACUGCGCCUUCAGACGGGCCACUUCCUCCCGGUGCUGCUCUUCAAGCCGGGACUUCUCAUCUGUUUAACAGAUGUGUGUUACAGAAGCUUGAGUUUAAAGAUAGAUCAAACUCGGGAAAAGGACAGACUUAUACCUUGCACUUCGGCGACACCCUUCAGGAGCUCACAUACUUGAGCAUUGUCCCCGGCUAUAAAUAAGAGCACGUAACAGUUUUGCAGUGCAUUAAUACUUGGACAAGGUCUUUAUGUUGGUGGAAAUUUGCUUACUCUGGCUCUGGCACUCGGCUACCAAGGCCUUGUGCUCUGCCUCAAGCUUUUUGUGCUUCGCCAGCAGCAUCUUAAAGGUGGUCGUGCGCUUAUUCAUGCAGGUUUGCAAAAUAGUGAUCCACAGAUAAGUCUAUUACGGUGGAAGGUUCACAACUACUCGGGGAAUAAGUGUUUAAAGUUUUUAAGCUUCAGGCCGACUAUUCUAAAAUCCAGCCUGAAUUCCGGGGAAUAAGUGUUUGAAGUUUUUAAGCUUCAGGCCGACUAUUCUGAAACCCGGCCUGAAUCUCGGGGAAUAAGUGUUUGAAGUUUUUAAGCUUCAGGCCGACUAUUCUAAACUUGGCCUGAAUCUCGGGGAAUAAGUGUUUGAAGUCUUUAAGCUUCAGGCCGACUAUUCUAAACCCCGCCUGAAUCUCGGAUAAAUGCAGAUGUGAGCAUUUCUAAUACUAAGUGUUAUGAUGACUAAGAGAAGAUGUCGGAAAUUGUUACCUUCGGUGCGACGGGGGCCGGCAUGGGCAAUCGGCAUGUGAUCCUCUGAGUCCGGAUCUUCAUGGUCGAUGGUCAUGCGCUGGCUCCCAAAGCGCUUAUCCGGGGAUUUCCCGUCUUCGUUGCGCUGAAGGGUAAACUUCUGCACAAAAGAAUUAAGAGGCGCCGAGAUAAGUCAUUAUCAAAUAAAAGCCGGCAUAACCUUGUGCCGGAUGAGAACAGAAGACGUAAAUAAACAAGAACUCACCUGGGGAGCACGCUACUUCCAACUAUAUGCCGGCAGACCCCAUUCCCAGCGCUCAGGCAUACUCGUCUUCCGGAAUCCGCCGGGAGCGGCGGAGCCAUGCGAUGUCCGCAUGGGAGACGUCAGAGCCCUCCCAGCCAGCUCGUUCCGAGCCCGCCCUCUCUUCGACCUGCUGAGCAGCAGGGUCGAUGGCGGCGACGUCGCGGGAGGAAGAAGCCAUGGGUUGGAAAACUAGAUCUAGGGUUUACUUCUUCGGUGAGAAGGUGCUGGCGCAAAGCAAGAAAAGCGGCAGCGGAAAGCUAAGUGAGCGUGUGCACGAGGAUGCGGCGGCGAGCUCGGUUGCUAGAAGUCAGGAAAUGCGACGGCGGAAGAGCUCGGAGUUCGCGGUAAUGGCGGAGUGCGCAAGGAGCAGAGGAGCUAAGGAGAGCGAGGAGGUUGGGGGAGUGCGAAGGGUUUUUUACCCUCACCCCCUCCCUCUAUUUACACCCGCGGCGCACUAAUAGGGCACGGAUCUUCCGCGCACACAAUCCCUGUGGCCAACAAAAGAGCCGCGCACGAUCAUGGAGGCUUUCAACCCCAUUAACACGCACGCGCCCGGUUACCGCGCGGCGUGGCGCAAAGAAUCCCGCCGAACCGAAAUUCCCCUCUUAAUGGCUCUGUCGGCUUUACUGUCUGAUGGGAUGAUGCGCUCGCCUCAAAAAGCGCACCGGCAGUACUUCGGGUCUUAUCUGCCCGUUGUUUAAGUAGAGCCCAGAGUAUGAGCGACAGGUGGCACCAGUAUCGGCAGAAGCAAGUUUGCUAUUGUCGGCUGCGGAGGAGAGAGGGAUCUCAGCUCAAGGCUGAACAAGCACGCCGACUCGAUAUGUCAGAAUAACUCGGUCUCGGCUAAGAGAACUCGGGAUUGUUUCGGUAUCCUCUUUGGCUAAACCCUGGUAGGCUUCGGUGGUUGGUCUAUGGGAAACUGUCGUGGUCCGACAUUCUUCCCUGCCGGACCGCAACAACUUCGGAGACUAGUGUUGGGGGGAUGACCUCGAGUAGGGUCAUGACGACACGCUUUAGCCAAGAUGACGAAGGCGAAGUCGGCAUAUUCAUGUAUGCCGGCAUCAUUAAGUCAAACUAAUGCCAAGCCGGCAUACCAAGUGUAUGCCGGCAUGACUAUUUUGUCUUAUAAGAUUGUAGGAUAAGGCGAAUACUCUGAUCUCGGCCAGCGCCGAGAUGUCUCAAAGGUCUUAUCCUCAUCACGUGGCGCCAAGUAAAGCAGCGCUAUCUUUAUCACGGAAAAGCAGUCGCCGCUUACGUUGCGAUGCCAGGCGACUGCACAAAGAAGCACCGAAAGAGAAUCUCUGACGGAAGCCGGCAGAUAAUUGAUGAUUGAUGUACUUGUUGCAGGGCGCCAAGGAAAGUAAAGUUGUCUUGUCCCCUGCGGCGCCACCCGGAGGGAACCAAGGCGCGUGCCCGGCGGGGCCCAAAGAAGAUAACGUUAGGUUCCGUCCCGCAUGUCAGUGUGACAUGGGCACUCCAUAAAUAGAGCACUACCCCUCCUAGGAGAGGCGGCGAUCACCUAGACAUCUAGGGUUUUCCCCUUUUUCUUCAUCUUCUUCCUCAAGAAUACAGCUUAAGGAGCGCCAUUGUAGAGCUUGCUAUCUCGGCUAAUACAACAAAUCAAGAUUAGGAGCACUACAUCGGCAAGAGGGCUCCGAACCUGGAUAAAUCUGUGUGUACUUGUGUAUUCGCGCGUGUUUCCCUUCACGUCCUCUCUCCUCCGAAUUCUCCUUCGUCCACCGGCUCCAAGAUAAGCCAUCCCAUGGCAUUUACCGUGACACCACCAUGACACGGUGAGCUUACCUCGGCAAACCAGUGUUACUAAAGGAAGAACCAAAGACUCAAAACAAAGUACUUAGCUUUCCGUUCUCUUUGCUCUUGGAGCACCUUGUUGAGAGUCGUGGCAAGGACGCGGUGACAGUGCAACCAUAGCGGUAUUGUUGCCCAUGUGGGACACGUGUCCCCUCAACCUAGCACAGACCAUUGGCCAGACCAUUUUAAGUCACCCACGCUUGGUUUCUGCUAGUACUAAUUAAAAAUGGACUAGAAUAGGACAUUUUUGCGGUAAUAGGUUAAUUAUGGUCGAUUCAUGGACUUAAAGAUAGUCCGGUCAACAUUGUGUGCCAGGUUUGUGUGAGGCAACCCAAAGAAAAAGAAGAGAGCUGGGAGAUUCAGCUCCAGCAAUAGGUAUCAUCCAACAAUUCCAAAUGAAACUAAAUAUGGAGAUACAAAUCAAGAUUAAGCCUAACAAGGUUGGCAGGACGUGUGGCAAGACCAAAACUACGACAUGCUGCAACAGUUGCAACAACAACACCUCAUUGGGUGGGUUUGGCAUUGGGGGAUGAAAUAUGUUAAGAAAGAAACUUAAGAACCAAAUGUCUGAGUUAAUUACAACGUGUUUCUGCACUAGGAAUUAAUUAAGGCCUGAAAAUUAGCUCGAAAUUCAGAGAGUCAACCGAGUAGGAGUAGUUGCUUGCUACUACUCGGCGGCCUAAUAAGAUAUUACCCUUCCUAAAUUGCUACCACCUCCGUACAAAACAAGUGUCUCGGUGUUGAACUAAACCUAGUUCGAAACUGCGACAUUUAGUUUGGAUCAGAGGGGGAGGGGGUUAAAAUUUAGUGAAUCUAGAGUAAAAAAUCGGGAUGAGAUGUUAAUAAAUUUGAAAAUUAUAUAAAAAACAAUGCAAAGUCCAGAAACACAAAUGUAUCUCGACAGUGUUGACACACGGUAUCAACGGGGAUUACAAAAAUUGUAGAGCAACUUCCCCUGAUUCGCUGUCAAUCCCCCUCAAACCCCACCGGCCCACCAACUGCUCGAGGAAAUGUCCAGAACGAGAAGGAAGAAGAUGAUGAGCUGGAUGCCACGUGGCCUUAGGAGCAUGAGAUGAGAUCCCGUCAGAAUUCCCAACCGCACCGACCUGAGUCUUUGCCAAAGCAAUCAGGAAGUUCCCUCUGCUCGAGGAGCUCGAGCUUUCGCAGUGUUUUUAUGAUGCGGAUCUGAUCGAACUUGUCGCGACAGUAUGCCCACGGCUGAAGCACUUUCGACGUGUUAGAUAUGUUAAAAGAGCCAUGUGCUUUUGUUGCUCUCCUCCUGACGAUUUUUAUGAUAUCAAUGAUAGUGUAGCCUUUGCAAUUGCAAGGAUGCAUGAGCUGCGUUCCUUGCAUCUCAUCGGCGAUACUCUCAGCAACUGCCACCACCUGGACUACUUUAACUUGCACGAUUGCCAACAUAUCAACAUGGAGGAGGACAAACUGGUAGAAAAGUGUGCUGGGGUUUACAUGGAUGAUUAUGCCUACUUUCAGCCUGCAAGCCCUCCUUCUAGUCGUGAUGGUGAUUUCAGCAUUUCUUCAUGCUCGGAUUUCGGGGAUGAUGACAUUUUCAAUUCCUACAUUGAUGGUGAUGUUGAUGACCUUGAACUUGAAGAGGCCGAGAGGGUUCUUGACAGCAAGGCCAUGCGUAGGUACCUGAGCUAAUAAAACAGUGUAGAUCUAGAUGUUUUGAUGGAGGUGCUCGGAUUGCCUGUAGCCUUCUUUACUGAAGGUUGGAUCGGCUGGUGUUGCUUGUUUGUUUGCUGUAAAUAAAUUUGCAUCACUUUCAGUUUUGUGGUUUGAGGAAUCCACCUUUGUUCUUAUAGUUUGACACUUCCAGCUGAACUUCCAAAUACAAGAAAGUCCAACUCACCGGUCAGCUCCUGUGCAUCUUCCGCAGGCUCCACAUCCCGGAGCUCGAUAUGCCACGCGCACUUGACUUGCAAAACUCAAAACUAUGAAAACGACCCGUGCGUUGCUACGGAACAACAGAAAAUUAUAUCAAAAUGUCAAAUCAAAUGUUGAUGUGUUUCAUGAGCACACACGUAUAUAACAAUUAUGAUAUAUUUAUUUUCUAAUCUAUACUCUUGUCUCUUUUUAUUUUGCACAUGUCUUAUUUCUAUAUCUCGUGUAAAGAGAAAGUGACACAUGCUCAACUCUUUUACUCUCUACCUCCAGGUUAUCACUGUUAUCGCAUACACCACACUUGAAAAGUCAUGUGUGAGCGUUUUUUUUAAAUUUUUUGCUGAAUUCAUGAAGUGAUUCUCAAUAUAAUCAUGAAUAAUAAAGAACAUGUAGCAAUGAUAACGUUUAUCACUUCCAUCCGUCCAAGCCGCUCGACUUCCCAUGCGGUGAUGAUUUAAACAACAAGCAUCGGUAUAUCGAUCAAGACAGCAAGCAGCAGCAGCCAUCAUAUAAAGCAAGCGGCAAUAUAAAGCAGCAUUCCUGUUCUCCUAUUACUCUCCUAUUACUCCUACUCCCUACUUUAUUUCUCAAAUCAUUUCCCCAAUUUCUCUCGCUCUCCGUCCGACUAUCCUCUCCAUCCACCCUGAGUGCAAACUACUCCUCUCUCCGUCCCGAUUCAUCCCGCCACCGAACAUUGCGCGGCUGCCCGCUUGUGCGUCCCGCCUCCGCCCAUAGAUUCCCGCUGCCCGUCCGCUCCCGCGUGCCGUCUGCUCCCGCUUGCUACCCGGUAUAGGUGUGCGCCUUCUCACAGCCUUGUCCACCCGUUCGCCGCGCCCGCGCGCCGCCCACACAUCGCGUCUGGCCAUUGGUCGCCGCGCGCCACUGCCCGUCGGGAGGGUCACCGAUGCGGUCCCUGCUGCCUUGCGCGAGGCCACCGCCAUCCUGGCCUCAGGCUCAUCCCAUCGCCUUCCAAGUCCCGCGGGGAGCCACCGGCGCACACGAACCGGUGGAGGCGGCGGUCGGGGGCGCGACAGAGCCACGGGUAUGCAGCCGCCUUCCGCCCACGGACGCCACCAACGCGCACAAGCUGGUGGAGGCGACCAAGAGCGGUGGCGGGCGCUGGCGAGAUCCGAAUCGGGUGGGGGUGAGAUUCGUAGGAUAGGAGGAGCGAGGAGGGCUCUGUUGUUGUUUUUUCUUUUUUGUGCGGUACGUAUUUUUUCUACACUUGAGAACCACGGGAGCCGGGAUUAAAAGGCACGUGGGGACAGCGGUGGCAGAUUCGUAAUUUCAGUGAAGUGACGUACUGCGACGACCGUACCAUCACCACCGACUCCAAUUUAAUAUAUUGGUAUAGAUAUUUCCAUUAGAUUUGACUUGCAAAACUGAGAUCUCUCAUAUGUUUUGUAUUUAACAUCUGGCAUUUGAGACUAUGUAAAUUUAAAACGACAUACGUACAUAACGCGCAAACACUCCCCAACAAAACGAUGUGUGAAAUCGAGUAUGAUUAAUAACCAUAUGAACCGUAGGAAUAAUAAAUAUCAGUUAAAUCCCAUUUAAGAAAAUUCUGUAUUUUGCUUGUUCCUCGUCUUCUCAAACAAUUCACAUUUCGUCACGGAGCCGACGAUCCGAAGCGGUUUUCUCGAUGACUAUGCUUUUUUUACCCAAGUUUCCACAUGGCUUUCAAAGUGGUAUCCAGUUUCUUCCUUCUCAUCCUGCACGAACAUUUGGUCGAUCAGUUGGUGGGCAUAGCCUAGAUCCUAACUGAAUUCUCAAGGGCACCGACCUUUAGCCGUCUACAAAACCCAAGUCCUGGCUCGUGCUCGUAAUAACUCGUUAACGCCCCUCCACAUCGCGAUCGCGAUGCCGGCGCCGCCAUCAUCGGCUCCGCCGCCGGCAGCGGCGGCUCCUUGGAGUCGAUCCAAGAAAACACAGAUCACCGUCCACGUCUCGGUGUUCAAGCUGAUGCCGUUGCCGCCGCCGGAGCAGGACUGGGCGGAGGACCUGCCCCUGGACGCGCUCCUGUGCAUCCUCCACAAGCUGGGCACCGUCGAGCUCCUCAUCGGCGGCGCGGCGGGGGUGUGCCGCUCCUGGCGCCGCGCCGCGCGGGAGGAGCCCGAGCUGUGGCGCCGCAUCGACAUGCGCGACCCGUCCGUCCCGUACUUCUCGCCGCGCGUCAGCCUCGGCAUCAUGGUGCGGCAGGCCCUGCGGCUCAGCGCCGGCCAGUGCGAGGUUUUCUCUGGGGGCGCGGGUCUCGACGACGACAUCCUCCUCUACCUCGCGGAGCGGGAAGAUCUCUCGUGCAUCCCGGACCAAUUUUUACGCUAUCUAACUUAUUUCUAGUCAAAAUCAUAUGCCAAAUUGGAAGGAUCGCUGCAGCAUAAUCUUUACGGAUUCAAAUGAUGGAAUAGCUUUUCUUAAACACAGGGAUACAUCCGUCUAUGUUAAUAUAUUAAAUUGGAGUUGGUGGUGAUGGUUCGCCGUACGUCAUGUCAUCAAAAUUACGGUCAAUAUGCCACCGCUCGUUAUUUCUCUCGACAUGGACGCCCCCCGAGCCCAACCUGCUCGAUCCCCUCCAGACGUCCCACCCAACCUGCUCCGUUGCACCCGCCGCCGCAACCCCCUUCCUCUCUGGCUACCCCCCCACCCCACCCCACCCGCCUCCCUUUUCUCCCCCGACCUCCUGCUCCUUCCUUCGCCUGGACAUCACUUCUUUUCUCACUACAGUUCGUGGCCUGGCCACUCCAAGCAUACCGACCCCACGCGAGAUCCACCCGACGACCGCUGUCCGCAGUCCCAACGCGUGAUCCAGAAAGUGUCCGUCGUCCGCCAUCCACGCAUGAGAUCCAGUAGGUGGCCGGCCAUAGCUCAACCAUCCGACGAGUCCUUAUUGUUUUCGUUUGUUGUAGUGCUUUGCACGAAUCGAUGGAUAAUUGGGAUGUACUCCCAACCUGAUUGAUGGUAGCUGCUAUGGAUAAUAGAUAGAUUAGUGUUGUUCCAUGCACCGAAUGAUUAACAUGUGCAUGCUGUGAUUGAAAAUUAGCAUUUACUGAUAGUUUGACUGCAUGCUUGGAAAUUAGCAUCUUUUUUCUAUGGGUUCCAGACUUUUGGAUGUAUACAAAUUUGCUCUAUGUUUUGAACUUUUGUAUUGGAUCUUUUCUUGUUAGAAUGUGAAAAUUUGGUACAGAAUUUGAAUGAUGAUUUAUUAGUGCACGGGAUCAUCUUUUAAAGUGGUCAUGACAUGUGCGUUGGCCCGUGGCAGCGCACGGGCAUUUCCACUAUUAGAUAAUAAAAUGUUGGAAUUUGUUUAUAUUCUGUUGCGCAUCAUAUUCCUUUGUUUUUAACAGGGGUAGCUUCCUUACAAAAAAAAAAGGCAUUCAAUUUUCUUCUAAAGGUGCAAAUUUUGAUUACAUGAACCGAAUACUUAUCUGCACUUUCAGUAAUUCAAUAUAUGAUGCCAUUUUGCAGGGCAACUUCACUCAAAAGCCUUCAUCUCAUCAGAUCCUACGGUUUGUCAAAGGAAGUCUUUGCCAAAGCAAUCAACAAGUUCCCUCUACUUGAGGAGCUCGAGCUUUCAGCAUGUUAUUACGAUGCGGAUUUGAUCGAACUUGUCGCCAGAGUAUGCCCAAGGCUGAAGCACUUUACAUAUGUCGAUACAAGGUGUCAUUGCCAUUAUCCUACUAGCAAUGACAGGGUAGCCUUUGCAAUUGCAACGAUGCACGAGCUACAUUCGUUACAUCUAUUCGGUGAUACACUCAGCAACAAAGGGCUUGCAGCCAUCCUUGACAACUGCCCCUACAUGGAGUACCUUAACGUGCCCUAUUGCCAAAAUAUCAAAAUGGAUGAUGUCAACCUUGUAGAAAAGUGUGCUGGGAUUUACAUGGAUGAUUAUGACUACUUUCUGUUUCUGCGCCCUUCUUUUAGUGAUGAUGAUGAUGAUUUUAGCUUUAUUUUACACUCGGAUUUCUGGGAUGACUAUGUUUUCAAUUCUGGUGAUGAUGUUGAUGACCUUGAACUUGAAGAGGCUGAGAGGGUUCUUGACAACAAGAGCAUGCGUAGAUACUUGAGCUAAUAAAACAGUGUGGAUCUGAAUGUUUUGAUGAAGGUGCUCGAUCGGAUGUUUGCGGCCUUCUCAAGUGAAUGCAAACUUUCUUACUGAUCGCUGGACAGGCUGCUAGCUAGUGUUUUCUUGAGUUCUCCGGUUUGAGGUUUAUCCUUUCUUGAGUUUUAUACUUGGUUGUCCAACUCCUUCGGUUUACUUGAACCGGUUUUGGUGGCAAAGCAGGUGCAUGCCUGCAGUUAGAACAACACAAUGUAACGAAUCCACAUUUGAAGUGCUUCUCUGUUAAGAUGUUGCUCAAUGAGAUAGGUCAAGUGAAGCUUCUCCUGGCAGACAUAUGUUGAGGGUAUACAAGACCAUGUUUGCUUUUCUUUUCUUUUUGCCAUUCUCAUUCUCAUUCUCAUUCUGAGUCAAGAGUUUUUGUUCUAGCGUUCUGAACUUCUGUUUCCCAAAUCAAUGAAUUUGUUGGAAAUUAUUGUAAAAUAAAUUUCGAAAUUUUAGUGCGGACUAAAUAUUCUUUUACCGCAUUUUAACCCCUGUUAUACUGAAGAUCCUGACGCAAUGUUGGUCUAAACGAGCCAGAGGCUUUGUGAUCCUGUAGUCUAUAGGUGGAUGUAACAGACGAUGGAAACAUAUCAGCCUUCCUAGAUUGCUAAAUUUAGUACUCCUCGUAAUAAGUGUCCGGAAUUUAGCCCGAUACCUAAGAUGGAUCAGAGGGAGUACUAACGUGAAAUUUCAUUGAAACCAGAAUGAGAUAUUGAUAAAGUAUAAAUUUGUAUUGUUAUAAACUGAUUUCACUCCGGUCUCAUCCAUGUUUCACAAUAGAAAUGAUCAUUGAUGUCACAAACGAUCGUAUUAAAUGGAUGCGGUAUUAAUAAGAGACAAUAAAAUGGACAGCUGCUCAUAGCGAUGGAACCUCCUGAGCCGUCUCUGAUUCAUCUUUGCGCAUCCGGUUGCCUAGACUCGCCUGACCCGGUCAACGAACAGAUAAAAAAUAAACGUUUCUGAAGGCCACAAAAAAAAUUAUAUAUAUUGUAGCAAUAUAUUAAUGUGGGAAAAGAUCAAAAAGAUUUUUCUGUACUUCAGCAGAUGUUCUAUAAAGCCACGGAGACGACAUUACGCGUAUGCCUAAAGACAGCGCAGGAACAGAGCCUUGCCCUGUGUUGGGCUUCAAAUAAUGGAGGGGAGAACUGCUCUUUGUUUCCUCCUGGUGCUUGUGUUGGUAGCAAAUUGUGUUCAUGCUUGUACGUAUCUUCAUCCCUACACCUUUGUAUGUGUUCUCUGUUUCUAUCUUCCUUCAACUAAUGUUGUUUUAUACCUUGUUGUUUGCAGAUAGCUGCGGGAAGAAGCAAGAUCUGGACACUGCAUGCAUACCUCGGUACGUGAGGCGGUUUUGCGAGAGGGAGUACCCAGGAAAAGUUGUCAGGGAAGCUUACUGUUGGGGCCUUUUCCCCUUUCUCUUUAAAAUCUGCGUCAUGUGUGGCUAGAUGUGACAGUGAAUCAAACUGAUGAAUAAUAACCUAUUUGCCUGAAUAGAAAUAAAUCAGUCUGUGAAGACAUGUGAAAUUGAUUACUGUACUCCGUAUUUUUCUUUUUUGGAUUCUAGCUCAGGGUGGACAUCCGGACCGAGCUUUUCGGCUGGGCCUGAGAUCCCCUAGGCUCGGUGCAGUUCGUGCUCGGCCCGAGUCGAGCCACCCUUUUUAGUCGUGGGAGCUUCGGUCCGAGCCAAGAUAAACCUAGGCCAGCUCAGCUGCCUCAGCAAGCUGAAUUAGCUCAAAGCCCAAUAACCCAUCGUGCAUUUUGGUGCAGACCGCGCUUGACUCGGGCUCGCGGGCCCAGCUCGGUCUGGCCCAGGGGAGGGAAUUACCGCAAUAUUAUCCAGCCGCAGCAGCCAGCCCCGAGCAAGGCAACGGCCAACGGUGUCCACAGCGAGAUUAACGGUGGGUGCUCCUUGAAUAAGUUUUUUUUUUAAAGGGUCUGUCUAUUUACCAGACGCCUGGUUUUUGGAUCCAAAACAGUUGCCUGUUUUCUGUGUUGAAACUAGACGCCUGAAAUUUUGAGAAAAACCAGUCACUUUUGCACCCAAAGUUUCUGUCCUGUGCCUGUUCUUUUUGUUCCAAAACUCUGUGUGCUUCGACUACUGGUCUUUUUUUUUGAGAGAGAGAAGGCUGGCUCAUUUAUUCAAAUAGAGAAGCAUUCACUGUUUACAACAUCCUGGAUGCAGCCAGGGACACAAUGCCAAAAGACAGAAUAAGCAGCGAAGUCACUCGAGUCAGCCAACAUAUGAGCCACCUCAUUAGCACAACGGCUUACAUGAACAAAGAAACAGAAAAUACACAUAGCACUAGAAAUUUGAUGUCAGCAACAAUAGGACCAAUGGAAGAACAAUCUCUACCCGGAGCAUUUACCUUCCAAACUAGGAACAGAUAAUCUGCACCAGAAUAUUGUGGAAAUUCUCUUCUCGAGCUAGAACCAUAGCACAUCGAAGAGCCUGUGCUUCAGCUAAUUCUGCUGAGGUAGUAUCUUCAAAAGACUGACGGCAUGGCAUGAGUCUGUGUCCCAGAUGUUCUCGUACCAUUACACCAAUGUCCGAACUCGAGUUGGCGGAGAAGACUACAACAUCAACAUUAAAGGAAACCUUACCAGCCAGCUGUGGAGUCCACUUCUGAACAACUCUUGGAACUGCACACCUUGGUGGCUGACAAGGCUUCAAAACAUGCUCUUGAAUCAUCUCCUCAUAAGACUGAUUUUUUUCACACUGUAGCUGUACGGCAAGUUAGAGAAAUAGAAUUCUUGUCCUCAUUACGAGCGUCCCAAAUAUGCCAACAUGCAACAGCCACAAGAACAGAUUGAAAAGGGUAGCGAUCAUAAAAAUCUUAAAGAAAACAAUGCCAUAUAGCAGACCGAUAGCAGAAUUCAAAUUUUGUACAAGUACAAUUGGAACAAGGACAUUAGUACAUGCAAUUGCAAAAUUAAGCAUAGUGCAAUUGAAACAGAAACCUUAUGCAAUUGCAAUAAUGAUAUUUUCCAUCCACAAUAAAACAGCUAGAUCAAAGUUUCAUAUCUUAUUUUCAUAAGUUUCAGAUUCUAAAGAAUAAAAUUUGAAUAUCAGAACACAUAAACUUUGUAACAUUCGACUUUCUAACUCUACUUAAGGACCUACCGACAAAACAAAAGUAGAGAAAAAUAACUUAAGCUUGCAAUUCCACUUUGCAAAACUUCUAAUUACUGAAGUAUGAACAAUGCAGCUGAAAUUUAAAUGCAGUGCAAUUCCAUCCACAUUGCUUUUGCCUUGCACUUAUGAAUACAAAAGGUGAGAUUCGCACAAAACAUCUUUUUUUCGAAAAGAAGGGAAGGCCCUGGGCCUCUGUCCGCAGAAAACAUCUGAUAAUGAGAAAAUGAUAAGAAAGGUGCAAGGGAUCAGGUUUUGCUUUCAACAAGAUUGUUAAUUACAACAGUAGAUGUAAUGCAAUAUAUUUUAGAAAGGGGUGCAAUUUAAUUUAAGUGGCAGUGCAAUUGCAAUUUGAUGAAUGAACAAUUGCAGUUCAAUAGAAGACAUCAACUUAAUUUGGAAAAAAACAUAGCAACUUGAACAGAGAACGUAAUGAAUAAAGGGACAAACGUUGAUGUUCUCUUGGUUAUUGAGGCCAUCUAAAUCGACAACUUGCAGCGGGCCUUCAGAUUGGCCAUGAGAUCCUUUUCCCUGCAAAAGCAAAACAAAAUGCUCAAUAGGAUGAAUUCAUAUGCAACUUAUGACAUAAAAGAAGAAGGAAAAAAGAGAGUAUUCCUAGAGGUAGAGAAAUUUAUUUAAACAUGGAUGCAAUUUAAUUUAGAAGUUGGUGCAAUUUAAUUUAAGUGCAGUGCAAUUGCAAUUUGGUGACUAAACAAUUGCAGUGCAAUCCCAAUAAAAAUCGCUGCAAUUGCACUUGUAUGGACUGCAAUUUGCGUAAGCUACAUCCUACAGGUGCAAUAAAAAUAAAAAUUGGAUGCAAUCCCAAUUAAAUUAGCAAAAAUGGCACUUCUAUGGACUGCAAUUUGCUUAAGCUACGGGUAAAUCACUGGACAAACUUGUUUUGUGCAAAUGGAACAAUUACAGGGUUUAAUAACGAAAAUGAUGGCCAAAAGGUUUAGCAAAAUGUUGGGCAAAAAGUGCUAAAUGUGGGGAGUUGCAGCUUGACAGAAGUAGCAACAUGAUUGCAUUGGUUAUAUGGUGCAAGUGCCAUUAAUAUAUCUAGCAAGUGCAAUAUACUCCUACAAAAAAGCUUUGUAAAUGCAAGUUGAUGAGUGAAAGAAAAAUCUGAGACCAUAUAAGAUCUAUAUACAAACAGUUAAGAUUGUGAGCCUUUAGAAAUGUUUAUAGGUUUGAAACUUUGCUUCUACAAAAUGCAGGGAUUAUCCACGGUAUGGUUUACUGAAGUACUCACUUCCACAUAUAAUCAAUUUAAUGCUCGGCAGGGAUAUGAUGAAAAAUGAGAUGAACAACCCAGUGUACACAAAUCUACCGAGGCAUACGAUGAAACAAUAGAGAGAAAUAACCACUGAAAUGAUUUUGGAACAUAACAACCAGCAGCCAUGUGUUUACUUUUAGACGAAAGCAAGAUUUCAACUAUUAAGAAACAAGAAAUUAAUAAGAAAAAGAAGAGAAAAAAAUAACAAUUAAGAAUUUUUCAGAUACAUGUAUCAAUGUAAAUACCAGAUCGCUAAUAUUGUCAAUGAUCAAGUCGGUCUCUGAAUAAUCUUCGGAUGAAUAACCAUCCUGCACUCAACAAAGUAAGAGAUGGACAAAAGGUAUACAAUAAACUUAUUUCAUACACUCACAAAAUCACAGGCCGCGGGUCCACCCGCAUUAGCAGCAGCAUGUUCACCCUCAUCCUCAAAAGGACAGUAAUCAGAGUCUGAAUGCACACUACAAUCAUUCCGGUCAGAUCGAACAUCGCUGCCCCUAUAAACUCCUGAGCAUUGAAUACACAACCUUGAGAAAAAGAUCAAUGAUAAAGACUUAGAAACAACAAGCAGGCAUGAAACCAAAACGGUAAUCGCAAAAUCCCUGAAAAAAAUGGAUACACACCUCAUGACCGAAAUAGCUACAUGCAACUUCAAUAGAAAACAUGAAUCCUAUGCCAAAAUGAUAGUAAUCUGACCGUGAUUUAAACUAGCAAACCACCAUAUAAGCAGAAAAUAAAAAAUAAAAGGAGUUGACUAGCAAACCACUAUUACCACAUAGAUUCAGAGCACAUUGACUUCAGAAAUGCACAACCCCGUAGAAUCAAAAAUCAAAAUCAAGUGGGGGACACCCACUUAUAGUUUAGUCAAAAACGAUUAAAUGAAAAUGGUUGAUUCACCUAGAUUAGAUAAAAUCAAAUGCACAUAUACAAGCAAAAAUGAAUCAAGUACAGUACAGUUAGACUCAGUACUUAGUCCUUGCUGUACAUAAUUUCAGGGGUAAUUUCAUUAUCUAAACACAUUACACAUGCAGAAACGAGGCCAAACAUAUGGAACAACAUCCCCAGGUUCUAAUAGCAGAGCUCAAAAUCGGCCAAAACAACCCAAAACUAAACCAGAUGAAACAACAUACGCAUCGAAGCCUCGAGUGCUCGGCUGCGGGGGAGCAGGAGGGCAGAGAAGCCUCGAGUGCUCAGCGGCAGGGUAGCAGCAAGGGCAUCGACGGCGGAGGCCAGAGAGGCGUACAGGAGGAGCAGGAGGGGCGCAGCUAGUCGCAGCAGGGGCGGCGGUGGCAAGCGCGUGGCGGCGCAACAUAGUAUAAGGGGCUGGGGAUGGCGCAAGGGUGUAGGAGGGGCUGCGGCGACGAGCCCGCAGCAGGGGCGGGGGCGGCAUCGUGCGGCAGAUGAGAAGCUGGGACAGGAGAAUGGGAGAGGGUGACAAGAGAAGGAGAUGCAAAUGGCUGUCCGACCCAAGAGAGAGGAAAAGCCCACGACCAAAUUUCACCGAUAUCAACGUACGAUCCAACGGUGAGAAAAUCGCCUGCUUUCCCAAAAAAAACCAGGCGCCUGGUGUAUAGCAAAAUCGGAAAAAAAAAACACAGUACAAACGCAGAUACUACUUGAACUAGUGUAGUGCCCGUGCGUUGCUACGGAACAAUAAAAUGAAAUAAUGCAAGUGAGAUACAAUUAUCCAUCUACUCCCUCCGUCCAACAAAAGAUGUCUCAAGUUUGUCAAAAUUUAAAUGUAUCUAGACAUGACUUAAUGUCUAGAUAAUAAAACAUGUGUACAGAUAAUAAAAUUCGUCAAAAUUUCAUUUUGAAGACAUGUGUACCAAUCGUGCUUUGUCAACCGACAUAAUAAAACACUCAUUUCUUUCUCUCACAGCUCCUCUGUACAGAUACUAUGCUACGGAGUACUCAUGUUGUGAAAAGGGCGGACCACACCAUUAAUUAGAUGACUCACAGCUCAUCCAUAUGCCAAAACAAAACACAAUUGCCUCAUCAUACAUCUUUAGGCACGAUCAUUAUCAUGUCAAAGUAAUAUUCAUAGAAGUCCUAUAGAUACUAUAAAAUUAAGUAGAGAACAUGCAUGUGUUAUUAAAUUGCCAUCAAGCUUGAAUGGCAAGACGGCACAUAAAAAAUCAUGCACUUUAAUUAGACAAACAUGUAGGAAUACAAGAUUCUACAAGACACAGGACACUUAACACACACAGAGAUCCUGACUCCUUUUCACAACAUGAAGGAACUGGCAACUUCAAAAUAUCUAUGUGCGAGGCAACAAUUGUUUGCAAGAGUAACAGUAAAACUAUACUUGUGUUCAAGCCGUUGAUGGAUGACAUCUUAUGUGCAGCAAUCCUAGGAAACCACAUCUGUAAGACAAAACCAUGUAUAUGGAUCAACAAUGAAAUGCAGGCUGUUUCAACACUUGAUAGCAUGUAAGAAAUUGAAGUGAAGCAUACUGAGCAUGCAGAAAAGCUUAUACCUAAAGCCCAUGGCCAAGGCUGAUGAAGAAGCAUAUUAGAAUAUAGAGACAUUUUAUUAAAAAAAUGAAAGUAAAAAAGUGAAGGAUAGAAGGACUUUAUCCAGCAUGUCAUGGGUUAUAUUUCAGAACCAACUGAAGAAAAAUAGUAAUUCUAUACUCGAUCUGUUUAACUAUCUUGGUCAGCCUACCAUGGCUUGGUACAGAACUCAUGCCAUGCCCCCAUUAAAUAAAUUGAUUUCUAUCAUGUGCCCGUAUAAAUAUACAGUUGUACAAGAGCGAAUAGUAUUACAAUCUAUAGAUGUAUCCAUAGAUUUAAACCAAACAAAUGUAAAAAUAUCAGGCCAGUUAACAUGUCAAACAAAAGCAUGCCUACAGCUUAUAACUGACAGCAAAGAUUUACAAUUUAGACCCAAAAGUCCAAAGAAGUUCCGGUAGUAACUUUUGUUGGCUGAUCAGUGCUACCACAAAAAAUAACAAAUUGAUGCCAGAGGAAGAGAUGCACCAUGCGCGGAUAAAUUUGCUACAGCUGCACUGUAAUAACCAGUCAACUCUAAUGUCCAACAGCAUGGGACCAGGCAAGAUAAUCACGGAAUGAGGUGUGGUCUUCAGGUGCAAUUGACAAAGGAUAUAACCUUGCUCCAUGAAUCAAAGUGGGAGUGGAAUUGUGAAGAACCAAUGUAAGAACUAACUAAUAUAUUAGGUAUGAUUAUUAAGAAUAAUGCUCUGGAUGACAACAAUGGUACUUAUUAACCUUGCUCCCUGAAUUAACACAAGCCUCGUUUUCCUUUUUAACAUAAUAACAUUUCAGAGUGGUAUCCAAUUAUUAGCAAUGUAAUGUCAGAAUUAUUAGAUCACUGAAUUAACCAAACCCUUUUUCCUGUUAACAUAUCAGAAUGAUUUUCAAUUGGCAAUGUGAUGAAAGAAUUAUUUGCACUGUGAUGUUAGCAAAGUUCACAUGUACUGGUCCCUAAUCAAAGUUGUUUCUGCAACACACAUUGUCAUCUCAUGAUACAACUGACAAAAUAUCGCGUGUGUGAUUUCUAAUCUACUGGAUUGCACUGUGCUUUACAAUUUACAGUCUUACCUGAGUCAGCUUCCUCUGCUAUUCUUUCUGUAGAACGGAAGAGGCCCCGUAAAGGGAGCUUGUGGUUCCAAGGAGCACAAUGGAGAGAUAUAUGCAAGAUCAAUUUCCAAGUCACGUUAAUUUAGGUUCUGACAAAGGGAAGAUCAGUAUAUCCGACAGACAUGAUAUGAGAAGGGAAAUGAUACUUUGACUUUAUUAAGACAAGAACGUUCCUGGGAAGAGUGGUGGAGAUGGAGGAAGACCUUCGGCGGCGGAGGAGCAGCGGCUCCGGCGGGGCAGGCGAAAGGCUUCAGUCGCGGCAGAAGAACAGCGAGGAGGAGAUGGGGCGGCGCGCCGAUCUGGAGGGCUGCGGGGAGGCGCGCCGGAUCGGGAGACUGGAUCAGGGCGCAGUUGGAGAGAGGGGCGGCGGUGGAUGCGUCCGCGGCGGGGUAGGGCGCUGGGUCGUUCGCAGGGAGGAGGCGGCGGCGGGGGAAAGACUCGCCUCGUGUUCGAGUCGCGGGGCAGGGACGUGUGCCGCUCCUUCGUUUGCGGUGACCGGCAGGGGGCAGGGGCGGAGGCCGGCGGCUGUGGCGGCUCGAUGAGGAGGAGGGGGGUGAGCAGAGGGAAGAGGGGCGGCGGCACAAAGGGGAGGAGGCUGCGGGCGGAGGAAGGGAGACGGGUGGGGAUUGGAUCGGGCUGAGUUUUUUUCCCUUUCUUUUUUCGGUUGUGACGACUGAGAAGAGACUCGGGGAGGGGGCACUACGCCGUUGGCACGUGGUGGCAUACGCGGUAAUUUGCCAGAAGUAUCGGACGAAAAUCGCGGUAGGAGCUGGUGCCAGGACGGACGAAUGUACUGCCUGCGUCCCAAUAUACGAGGCACGCAUGCAUCUUAAGAUUUCAAAUUUAAUUAUCAAAAUAUAAAUUAUAUUUCAUAAAGAAUAUAUCAUUAGAUUCGUAAUCAAACGAACUUUCUAAUGAUAUAUUUUCUACGUCAUAUAAUUUAUAUUUUGAUAGUUAAAUUGACGAUCUUGGGAUGCGUGCGUGCCUCGUAUAUUAGGACGGAGGUAGUACCAAACUGCAGAUCAAAUUAAGUAGUAUUCCCUCCGGUUUUAUAUUUUCUGCGCGCAUAUUAAUGCGAACCUCGACCACGCAACCUGAGAGGCUCCCAUGCACAGGCGGAUCGCACGCACGAUCUCAACUGCCGCAUGCAGUUGUGCAAGAAAAAAUCUGGACCAUUCAUCAAUGCACCGUGAGCUUGCAUGCAGCAAACUGCCUACGUUUUCUCCACGACAGGUGGGAUUUUUCAGUUAGCAGCCAAAUCGCGUGGAGAUUAGAUAAAUCGCAAAUCACGCUAGCGCGUGGAUGGCAGUUGCGCGCCUUGUAUUCAGGAAAUUGGACGAAAAAAAUGUACGUCUUAUAUAAAAAAACGGAGGGAGGAGUAAAGAUAAGCUUGUUGUUUAUCCAGAUGUCGAAGAUCUGAUGGAUGGGGGAGAAGGAAAGGGCAUGCUGAUCGACGAUUCCCCCGCUUGGAUGAUGUGUGUGGUUUCCAUUUUUAUGUAGCGAAACGGAAGACGCAUAGGCAGUGAAAGAAACAGCAAACAGCGAAACACGUGGAGAAAUAGAAACUGCACGUGGUGCAUGUGCUCCACUUCUAAGAUUACCCGCCAGCAGCCCAGCACACAUGUCGCAGCUGGCUAGUAAAAUCCAGGUGGAAGAUAUGGCAAGCGAUGAGCUGUGGUUGCUUCUUAAGGCUAACACAGCUGGCUAGUAUUAAAAUCCAGCAAACAAUCUUAUCAGCUGGAGAAGAAGCCAACGAAGAGAUAGGGAUGAUAGGCUUGCUUGGUUUUUCUAGAACAAACAUUUUUGGAAUGCCAUAAAGAAAUGCCUUUUGGAGCAAACAUUAAUGUGGGAAAAUUAAAAAAAAAUCUUGCAUGGUAUACUUCAGCAGGAAAUCUCCUAUAAAUUAAGCCACGAAGGUGGCAUUAAGCUAGCGUGUGCCCAGUACCUGUCGACCCUCAAAUCCAAAAGGCGAAUACACAAACAAGAGCGGCUUCUCUGUGUUAAUUUGUUUAACACCCAUGGAGGGAAGAACUACUCUUUGCUUCCUCCUGGUGCUUGCCUUGCUAGGAAAUUGUGUUCAUGCUGGUAUAUACCUACCUUGUGUUUAAUUUCUCCGUUUCUAUAUUUUUACAUGUAAGUUGUGCUAAUAUAUGGUAUGUUGAUGAUAAGUUCUUGUAAUUUGCAGAAACCUGCAGUGAGAAGAGUAAUCUGGACACUGCAUGCAUACCUCAAUACGUGAUGAAUUUCUGCAAGAGGGAAUACCCAGGAAGAAAUGUGAAGAACGCCUACUGUAAAGGCUUCUUCCCGUUUGUCUUUCGCGUCUGUCAAAUCUGUGGCUAGAGUUUUACGGCCCCCGUGACCAGGAGCCAAACUAAUGUAUAACCUAUUUGUGGUACGGUUUGAAUGAAGAUAAAAUCAGUUUGUGAUCCAAGACAUGUGAAAUUGAAUAAAAUUAAAAUCAGUUUGACCAGGAGUCAAACUCAUGUGUUGGUGUUGUGUCAAUGAAUUGGUGAUUGAAUGAUUGCAUUAACGAGUUGGAGAUUGUAUGAUUGUAAUUCUUUUGGUGUAUGCAUGUGUACAUGUGCUUCUCACCCGUGUCGACAACACGGUUCUGCCAGGUCACAGAUGAGGUUUUAAGAUCCGUCAGUAACAUCCUUUUUGGUACAAGUAGUAGUAGUAGUGUAGUACUAGAGUUUUGUUUACCCUAUUUAUUUAUGGCAUGAUAGAUUGAUAAUCAAUCAAAACAAUGCUCGUGAUGAUGAUGAUGAGAAUUGUAUAAGUAAAAUUUGAAUUAUUCUAAUUUCUACUCUGACUCGAAGCUUUAGUAAUUUGGGGAGAGGCCUCCGCCGAAAAGCACCAUACGACUCAUAGUAAUCAGAUGGAUGCACCGUAAUUUAGGGUCGGUUUGUUAAUACUAAUCCGCACAUGUCGCAGCUGGCCAGUAGCCUUUUUUGAGAGGAAGCUGGACAGUAGCCUAGUACUAGUAAAAUCCAGCAAGUAAUAAUCGCAUUGCAUGGAUAUGCACUCACUAGCUAGCUGGCCGGAGAAGAAGACAUCGAACAGAUAGGAAGGUCAUUAAUGUGGUAAAAUUCGCUUGGUAAAAUCGAUCUGUUUGUCGAAGACAUGUGAAAUUGAUCACUAAUAACCUUCCAUCAACCCGAUGAUAAAAAACACAUCUUUACAAGUUUGGAAUUUUAUUUUUUUCCGAAAAGGGGUGACCCAUGGCCUCUGUAUCAUCAGCCGAGUAUAGAUAUUUUUAUUGCAAAGUUUACAAUCACUUUAAUUGAUACAGAGGCCAAGAAAACUUUUUUUUUUUGAAGAAAACAACAUGACUGGUUGCGGCUUCCUCUCCUUUACCGCUCCACAACGCUUCCACUCACAAAUUUCACGCCGUUUGUUCAAUCUUGCAUCCUUUGUCGACCGCUGCAAAUUCCACCCGAUCUCCUUCUAACGUUGUGCACACAUAAUUUUCAAGCAGAAUAGAUUUAGGCUAGCUGAGGGCUGUUCUGAAACAACGAAAUGCAAAUUUGUAGACAUUUUCCCUUUUUAACUGAAGAGGUCAUAAUCUUCAUCAUCGAUUUGCAUCACUAUCAUAGUCUAUUUUUAGAGAGGGGUGCACGGAAGAGAGUCUGGCUCUUCUUUUCACAACGAUGUUUAUGUUUAAACAACUAUGUUACAGCAGGAAGCUCCUUUUGUGUUUAUUGACAUAUAUGUUUAUGCUGUGGUAAUUCUUGAGAUAACUCUGCAAAAUUGCUUGAUAUCUAUGUACAUGUUGUGUUAAUAUGCUGAUGUAAUUUGCAGCCACUAGUGUAGCAGGUCGUGGGUGAAAAAUUUGGGCUUGGGACCACUAGUACAGCUGUGAUAGCCUGUUGGCCUGUUGGGUUUAGGAUAUUGGAAGGGGAGGAACAAUAUAUCAAACGGUCUGGAGCAACAAAGUUAGACAGGCUCAGUUCAGUUAUAGAUAGAAGAACACUUCACAACUGCAAGGUGAUUCAAAUGACAAGUAUAUACAGUCGUAAAAUCAAAUAUAACAUCAAGAGAACUCGUAAGAUUUUGAUUCUGCCAUAAUGUAAUUGCAAAAUAUUCGUAGAACAAAACAACAUACAGAACACAACCAAACAAGAGGAAUGCAAAAUUCUCACCAUCUGCAUCACUCAACCGAACAUACACUGUCUAUCUAGUCUAGCAUGAUAAUGUACAACAAAAGGAUAUGCAUUCUGGAUGUACUUUUUCAUGGCGAUGGCUCUGUUGUCGCUUCAGAUGAUGCGACUGUUGAUGGUUCAGUGAUUGUGAAGGAUCUCAUCGUGGGAGAAUGUGUAUCAUCAGGUCUCUGCUGGUUGUUGACCUUGAUGUCUCCCAUGUCGCUAAUCACGGCGGGCUUCGUGAUCAUAUCUGUGGAGACGCCUUUCUCUCCUGUCAGCAUCAGGACGAUGUUGGUCAUGUUGGGACGGAGUUUCAUUGCGUCUUGAGUACACAGUAGGCCAACCUUCAAGAAUCGGCAUGCCUCCUCGACGUCCAGGUCAUCCUCUAGAUCUGCAUCUAUGAUCUUCUCGAGCUGCCCUUGCUCAUGAUGUCUCCAUGUCUGCAAGAUCACCAGCAGACCUUUCACAUUAUGUCCAACCAAAUGUGCUUCAGACAGCAGAAAAGCAAAACUAACUCCAGUUAUGUACUUAGGAGUAGAUCUUCAGUUUCUUAACUGUAUAUAUUGCAAGUGAAUCUCAUAACCAUGUGUUUCUCGGGAUAUGCUUACACAAAGGUUUGAGAUCUGUGCACAAAACCCUACAAAUGGACCUUUAAAUGACAUUGUAAGUUACUGUCUUCAGAAAGCUUUUAAUAAUUUGGGUGUUACUGGGAUACUGAACAAUCAGCACAGCAGGUAGCGCAAGUACCUUGUCAGGUAACUAAAUACCAGCCAACACCUAAAUGGUAACCUCGUCAUGGAAAGAGAAUCACAGCUGCAAUAUCAAACUGAAGCACAAGUUUAGUGAGUGUAGUAUUCUGGUAGAGCUUACCCUCUCAAGCAGAAAUUGGUCUUCAUAAGGCAAUCUAUUAUUGUGGUUACACCUGCCACUAACAAUUUCCAACAGCAAAACACCGAAACUAUAAAUAUCUGACUUCUUUGUCACUUGUCCUCUGACAGCAUAUUCAGGGGCCAGGUAUCCUCUGAAAGAAGAAAGGAAGGCACUAAGAGAUAAGAAUGACAUUCCAUGUCCAAACAAACUCCUAAAUAAGGUUAUACUUAUACUUACAUUGUUCCUGCAACACGGGUGCUCACAUGAGUUGCAUUUAGAGGAAGGAGCCUUGCCAACCCAAAAUCAGAAAUUUUGGGGGUGAGAUCCUUAUCGAGAAGAAUAUUGCUUGCCUUUAUGUCCCGAUGGAUUAUUGGAGGACGGAUUUCCUCAUGAAGAAAAGCAAGCCCAUGCGCAACCCCUAGAGCAAUUUUAACACGAACUCUCCAAUUGAAUCGAAUGCUGCUAUAACCUUUUCCUGCAAUACCAUAUAACAUACUUAAGUAAGAUAGUAGUAAAGGAUAAUAUGAUCCAUGAAGGACACAGUAGUAGACCGGUAUGUCACCUAGCAGUGUGUGUGCAAGGCUGUUGUUCUCAAGAUAGUUGUACACAAGGAUCCUAUGGGACCCUUCAGCACAGCAACCGACUAAGGUGAUGAGGUUUUCAUGCACAAUAUCAGAAAUUGCCGUGAGUUCAGUAAAGAACUCUCGGAUGCCUUGCUUUGAAGUGGCAGAAAGCACCUUUACCGCAACAAUUGUGCCGUCUUUAAGCCUUCCCUGAUCAAAUGACAUGUCAUUUAAGUAAAGAGUUCAAAGCAAUGAACUUUUUAGAAGUCAUCAAUGACUUGGGCAAAUUACCCUGAAAACAGAACCAAAACCGCCUUCGCCGAUCUUGUUUGCCUCACUAAAAUCAUGUGUAGCUUUUCUGAGCUCAUUAUAAGAAAAGGUUCUCACCUUAUUUCCUCCUGGAACUGCCAGAAAGAAAAUGCAAGUGGGUCAGAAUGAGGCGCCUUUGUAGGUAUAAGUGGUUAACAAACUGGCAAAGACAUCAAAUGCUCACCUUCCUCACCUUCAAUACUUUGUUUAAUGUCCUUUCCACACAUAAAACAACAAGACAUAUUCGUAAACCAAAUUGUGGAAAUAACCAAAGACACAGACUAACUUGAAGCUGAAUUCCUGUGAACAAAGAGCAAUAUCAGUUUUUCAUUCAGCUAAGGAACAAUUAGUCAGUUUAAAUGUACCAAUUAGCCUCAGUUCACAAACCUAUGUAUGUUUAACCAAACAUAUAUCUGUUUACCGGUACCAAUUAACCGAAAUAUAUUAAGUUCACAUAUAUAGUAAGAGACUGGUACUGACUGUACUAGCAUUAUUAAAUUACGGUAGAGUUUAAUUCUGAGUUCAGAAACUAACUAGCCAACUCUCUGCAUUACUAGUUUAUUGCUCUACAGAUUGUCAAGAAAAAAUUACUAAUUGAAACAAGGGUGUGGCCUUUUCUCAGUCGCUUGAUUUUUAAGAAAGAAGCCUUAAAUCAAUAAAUCUCAGUCAUCGAACUAGAACCGUUGGAUUAAGAUCGGAGCGUCAUUUCCACUCCCCCAUCUUCCAUGUGUUGCCGUUGGAUUAAGAUCUAACGGUAAGGUGGUCGACUUAUCUCUAGCUAAAAACAGUCAACUUCUUUAUAGCAAAACCGUUUAAACAAUGUGUCUAGUGGAGUACAUGAAACACAGAACUGUGAAACCAAGAAGGAACAGGACCAGAUCUAGGCCCUGCUUGGAUUGAUGUUGCCACACCCCACCAACACUGCCAACUGAAGUCAGGGUCUCCCCACCGUCCAACCAAAAAGAAGCAAACCUUUUGAUAAUAUACUCCGUAGCUGCUAGCUGGUGUCAUCACAAUUGGCAAAAAAAGUAUGUCUGCCUCCAAGAUAGGGCAGGCAACCCAGCAAACUCACACCAUGUGGGCAGUCCAUCGGAUCCAUAUGAAAGAAUGGUGUAUUCCUAUCUUCAUUAAAGUGAAUACUAUGUGUUUUACUAUUCUUAACACAUUCGUACUGAAAAAACUUCAAACAUUUACCUUAUCAUCGUAAGAACUAACAUUUGCUCCAGGCUAGUACUUGAUUUGCAAAUAAAAAGUAGCCUCUUUUUUUUUUACCAAUAAUAGUUUUUCUACGGGUAGUUGACAAAAUUAGUCAAAUAAUAAACUAAUAAAAAUUCCUGUCCAUUGCAUCUAGUACCAACCGUGCACAUGCAGGGUAUUGUUCCUUUCUGAUAUAGGCGUUACUCAACAGCAUUGACUUAUUCUAGGAUGCAAAAUGGAAGCAAAGAAAGAAUCGAUAUAUAUCUAACAAAAACACAUUCCCUGGAAUCCCAAUCCAACAUGUAUGCAAACAUAUGCUACAUUAAUUAGCGUUUGCCCAACACGUAAAUCGAUCAAAAAAAUUAGCAAAACAUGGCAAAGCAGCACCCGCUCUUGGCCUCAAACCUGCAGAAGCUAUCAAAUCUGGGGUCGAGAACCCAUGAAACGCAAUCCGGAGGGGAAAUGUAUCACACGGGCUCCAGGGGCAGAUCUAGAUGGCGUGCCCCUGAGAGGGGGGGAGUUUCGGGGUGAGAAGCGGAGGGUUUGGGGUGCAGGGAGGAGGGGUUUGGCGUCGAGGCGUCGGCGGUGACAGUGAACUACGCCGUAGGAGAGAUGCCAUGGCCGCAUGCCGCAGUGGGUCGGAUUGGAGGCUAGGGUAGGUCAAGAACAUGAAAUCGCUUCCCAGUGCCCAAGAAAAUAAGCUAACUGGCAUUAUCCAGACCCAAACCCAAGAAGUAGAAAUCACCUGAUGUCGAUCCGCCUGCGUCCUUUCAGGGUCGCCCGGAGCUUGAGAACCGAGUGGCGCCCUUGGGGUGUCCGGGAAGGAACCAGCCGGCGAGGAGACUGAUGGAACAAGAGACGGGGGAUUUGGAAUUGGAGGUGAAAUCUGGAACAUCGACUUGGGAACGGCGAUUCUUUCCUCUCCCACUUUUCCCUCUCUCUACUCUCUAAUCCAUCGUCGGAAAGCCAAAAGCCUUCCUCUUUCAAGCUCAAAAAAACCUCUUUUUAGCUCGCCUGUGGAGUGGAGUAACAAGUUGGUUAAGUAGCUGUCAAAAAAUAAACAAGUUGGUUAAAAUAGGUUUCCUCCCGGCGUGAUUCUGUAAUCAGCGCACGCCCAGAGGCCAGAUCCCCUGGCUUGUAUGUAAAAAAAAUGGGCCAGAUAGAGAACACCAAGAAAACUGGGCCGGUUAGUCGUCGUUCCUGGGCCAAACCCAUAUACGCAUCAAUAACUAGUUACUACGUAGUACGAAGCAACCACUCAUGGAAAAUACAACCCCUCAUGAGUCAUAAAUCAUUUAUCCAGAGAUCCCAUUAUAGUGACGUGUAUUUGUAUAAAAAUUAUCCACGUCGCUUAUUCCGAGACGGAGGAAUCCACGUCACUAUUUUGGGACGGAUUGAGUAUAUUGUACCGCUAUCAUCCUGCCAAAAUAGCAAGCUAGAAGAAGGGUCAUCGGUGGAAGCCGACACAUCAAUGUUGUUGGACCGUUGGUGGAAUCCGAUGCAAUGGUAGGUUCGCCCACAACCACGUCGAGAGCAAGUCCAUGAGAAGCCUAACAUGGUGAUCCAUGGUGUGCUCCUGUUUGCAAGCAGCUUCACGGACGUCCUACCUAGGCCUAUAUGGAGGAGAGAAGAAUAGGAGUUGUGGAGAGAAUAUAAUGAUUGCCCACCCCCCAACAUUGAUGAGGAUUACAUGAUGUGAGAAUUCGUUUGGACGACCAAACUCCUUCCAUAGAAAGAACAAAAUAGGACUUGUUAGAUUAGCGAGUUUACUUUCGCUUUCGAUGUGGUUGAGCAAAGAAUAUUCUUAUCUUUUGAAAUUGGAUUUCUCAACCUGGACUGUGCCCAUGUACCACCCAAAGCCAUGAUACACCACCACCACCUAAUAACGAUAACGUGUCAUUGCCUAUGUUAUCUCUAUCGCCUUUCGACGCCCGACCACAUUCAACUCAACCAAUCUAGUUUUCACCCCUUGACAAUUUUUUCAAGCCAUCAUCCUUCAGCUUAGCAAUUUGAAUAAAGAACAUGUUUUAUCUUUCCUACAUCUCAAACCUCAAUCAUCGUACUAAAGUUCAAAACAAUAAUACGAUUCUUCAAGAAGAGCAUACCCUUGCGCAACAUGCAUCACGAGACAAUAACCGAGUUUUGACAUAGGAAAACCCUCUGCUCAUCUUUGCAAGCUGACACUACGUCCUAUUGAGACGACAAACUUUUAAUGGUUUUUCAAAAAAUAAGUUUACCAUUAUCCUCUGCUCAUCUUUGCAAGUUGACACUACAUCCUAUUGAGACUACAUCCAGGUCAUAAUAAACCUCUGCUCAAAUUUACCAUUAUCCUCUGCUCUUCCCACCUGAGGAGUGGGCCUCGAGCCAAAACCUCUCUACAGUCCAGCCCACGGUAUCGUCUCCUCAGAUGGUCAAACCCUAAAUAAGACCAGCAAUCCACCGUUAUCCCCUCUCGUCUCCGCCUCCGCUCCUCGUCCUCCUCCUCCCGGCAGCAUCACCAUCUUCUUCCUCCGAUCUCCUUCGCUAGCGCCGUCCUCCCGUGCACACUCCCAGACGUCCUCCUCCCCUACCCAUCGAUCCGCCCCCCGCCCGUCGAAUCCGUUCUCUCGCCGUCUUGGUACGUUCCUGUUUCAGUCACCGUCGCGUCCGUCCUCCGUGCUCAUGGGUUCCGCAAGCUCUUCCCUGAAUUCGGCCCUUCCCACUAGGUCAAGCUCGUUUUCCUUCGUCACUGGUGGAUGCGAUGCGUUUGCAAUCGUUGCCGCAAUUCGGCACGGUCUCUUUGGCAGGUUUCACCCCCAAUUCCUCCGCAGGGCGGCACGGUCUCUUGGCAGGUUUCGCCGCCCAAUUCCUCCACAGGGGAAGGAAAAGGAAGCGAGGCUGAAUUUUGAGAUUCAGGCUGCUUCGAAUCCGUAUGUGUUAGGGUUAGGGUCUUGACCUGUGCUGCAAGGCUAGUCUCUAGUUCUUGAGGGCUCUCCUUCCUUCUAAGUUAACCCCCGUCUGUUCAGCUGGUCCUUUCUGUGCUUACUGCUAAGAUCCUACCAAGGCUUUUGACUGAUUUGUAUGCUGCAUGUUGGUGAUCUGUUCAUCAUCUCACAAACAGGUCUUUGGGGAGUUCUGCUUAUUGGUUCCAUCUCGGUUCAUCAGUAAAUGUUGUUCUGGUGGUGCACCUCAACUAGUUUGUCGUGUUCUGCUCACGUGCAUGUUACAGUUAUCCCUGAAUCUUGAUCCUUGUCGCGUUUCGCCUAUUGAUCCUGUCACAUUAAUCACUGAAUCUAGUUCUUUGUCACCGGGUUAGAUAUGGUUCGAUGGUCAUACAGCAAUCACUAUGUCUAGCGAGUUGGGCUUCCGUUCGAUUUUUCUGAUGCCUCAUGACUGCAUGAUCUGUGCCAAUUCACAUGGUUUGCUCUGCGUAUGUUAUUCUCCUAUCUUUUAUUCCACUCAUACGCAUUGGUGAAUUACCAGAAGAUAUCAGCGGUUCCAUAAAAAAGUAUGUCUUGUCCUGUUGGUGCAUCUCGACUAAUUAUUUGUCGUGUUUUGCCUAGUGGGGCCAUCACAUUUAUCCUGGAAUCUAGUUCCUUGUCACGUUUUGCCUACCGUUUCUAUCACAUCCAUCACUGAAUCUAGUUCAUUCUCACCGGGUUGGAUAUCGGUUGACGGUUACACAACAAUUAUCAGCAUGUCAAGAGGGUUGGCCUUCGUCGGAAUUUUCACAUGCCUUGAAACUGUCACGACUUGUGCCAGUUCAUGUGGCUUGCUCUGUGUAUGUUCAAUUUUCCUCUUUUAACUCACCUGCAAUUGUGCAUGGUCAGAAGAUAUAAUUGAUACCUGUAUAAUCAUGUACAUUCAAUUUGAUAUGCUACACUGAUUGGUGUAGCUGGCACAUUUAUGACUUGAUACUGCUCUCUUAUUUCCAUUUUUUUUCUCUGGUUUGAGUGAGGUGAUUAAUGUUUGAUGUAAUUAUGUGAAUAGCUGACUGUGGCUACUUGUUGAGUUUUCCUUUCAUAUAUAACUUUUCUGCUCAGUUUUCUUGAUGAAUGCUGACAGUGAUUCACUAGAAUCCUCACCUCAUUUUAUUUUUUGCUAUCUCACGCACUUACCCUCUUUUUGAGUCUUAUCAUUCUGCGCUGUGAUGCCUGCUUAAUGGAUUAAUUGUAUAUCAUGGAUGUAUUUAAUAUGUAACUGAUGUUUAUUGGUUGAUGGUUUUCCUUUUGUUUGCAACCAUACUUUGCCUGUUCUAUUUCCUUUCAGAACUUAUGCGAUCAUUAGAUAAUAUUUGUUCUUUAAUCAUAUAUUUUUCAUGUGUAGUCAGCUAAACCAUGAGGCAUUCCGGUAAGCGUACCAGCCAACACAGGGAUCAUGACAGAGAAGGGAGGGACGAAAAGAGGAGGCCAGCUGUCCACACCCAGGAAAAUUCCAGUAAUGACGAGUUGGUUGUUUACCGCAUACUCUGUCCAGACAAAGUGAUUGGUAGUGUCAUUGGCAAGAAUGGCAAGGUGAUAAAUUCUAUUCGACAACAGACAAAUGCCAAAGUCAAGGUUGUUGACCCUUACCCUGGUGCUGACAAAAGGGUUAUUUUGGUAUAUUGUCACGUCCAUCAUAGAGAUCUCACCCAUAGGGACAUAGACGUCGAUGAUGAUGAUGAUAGAGAGCCUGUUUGCGCAGCACAAAAUGCAUUACUCAAGGUACAUGAUGCAAUUGUUGAGGCUCUGGCCAUCAAUAGUGACUCUGAUGAUGAGGAAGCCAACAUUCUAGUACCAGCUAGUCAAGCUGCAAGUGUUAUAGGAAAAUCUGGAUCUGUCAUCAAGAGGCUUCGGUCAAUUUCAAAAUCAUCCAUUAAAGUUAGGCCAAAGGAUCCAAGCGAAGUUACACACUCGUGUGCUAUGAGUUUUGAUAAUUUUGUUCAGGUAUUUUUUCUUCCAUAUAAUAAUUUAGUGAACUAUGCCAACAUAAUAUGAGAUAACGAUUACUGAAUAGUUGCAGAUUAUUAAGCAUUAAAUUUCUUGGUUCUCAGCACAUGGUUUUAUAUCACUGUUAUCUCUUUAGCAUGGUGCUGGAAUCAACUAAUUGUUUGAUAGUAUAGUUGUGAUCCUCCUAGCACAAUAGUUCAGAAUUUUAUCCUCCUCACUAAUUGCAGCUUUGUACCUAUGUUUGUCCGUUAAUAACUCCACAUUGUUCUCUGUUUGUGUGGCACACACUUAACUGUGCAUGAUCAACAAUUCCUAUCCGCAACUUGCUUCUUUUGAGUCCAGCCACAUUCUUAAAUAUCCAUUAUUUGUUUCAUAUAUUCUGCUAAUCAUUAUCUUGAAUGUAUCUUAUAUGUAACAGAUAACUGGUGAUGCUAGAGCUGUCAAGAAGGCACUGUUUGCAGUGUCAGCCAUCAUCUACAAAUCUCCAUCAAAAGAGAUCAUUCCCCUUGAAACAUCUGUUCAGGAACUCCCUCCAAGCAUUAUAAUUCCUUCAGAGCUUCCUGUCUAUCCAGCCAGUAACUUCUACUCACUGUCAGAUGGUGCCAUGCCUUCUGGACAUCCAAGUCUACCUAUCUUAGGGGCCCCACAUCAUGUUUCUCGUAUUCCUGAAUUUACUGUGCCUGCUGAUGCUCAUGGACGAUUGCCCAUUUACCAAUCUAUGGUUCCUGCUAUUCCUACUUAUAGCACCCCAAAAGGCUCAGGGGAUCUACUAUUGCGUGUUGUAUGCCCUGGUGACAAGAUUGGGCUGGUUAUUGGUAAAGGUGGGAUGACCAUAAAGAGUAUAAGGAAAGAGAGUGGUGCAAAUAUAGAUGUUGAUGAUGCAAAGAAUGACAGAGAGGAAAGUAUAAUCACCGUUACAUCCACUGAGGUAUGACACUUCCAGCUGUACUUUGUUGCUUAUGCCAUAUAAUAUGUUUUUUACUUGAGGUGACACCUUCUAUUUCAGGCCACUGAUGAUGUUAAGUCUGCAGCAGUGGAAGCUGUUCUGCUGCUUCAAGCCAAGAUAAACGAUGGCAUUGAAGAUAGAAUGCAUAUUCGACUUCUCGUUCCAGGCAAUGUUAUCGGCUGUCUUAUUGGCAAGGGUGGUUCAAUCGUCAAUGACAUGCGUAAUAAGUCUAAAGCAAUUAUCCACAUAUCAAAGGGCAGCAAGCCCCGCAGGGCAUCUUCCAGUGAUGAGCUUGUUGAGGUUUGCCUUUGUGUUAUCCUUUGAGAUAGUCUGUGCGAUUGCCGAUCCAUGUAGGUCCGUGUCUUAACUUUUUAUUGCAUGUAGGUGUUCGGAGAAGUAGACAAGUUGCGUGAUGCUCUUGUUCAGAUAGUUCUGAGACUCCGGGAAGAUGUUCUGAAGGACAGUGUGGAGAGGCAAAAUUCUGACAAGGAUGGGAAGCGAACCAUUGCAAUUACCGAACCCAUGUAUUCAAGCAAUUUUUCGAUGCCUGCAUUAUUACCUUCCACUCGACAAGUCAGUCCAUUGAGCUAUGAUCAAAGGGGUGAAGUUGAGCGAGGUUUGGAUGUAUACCCUCGUAGCAGUUCGUAUAGAUACAGCUCCUUGCAGGUGCAAUAUACUUCUCUUUUUUAUCUUCAUAAUGAGACAUACAAGUUUUUGGUAUCAACUUAGGGGGUGUUUGUUUAGAGGCUUAACUUGGUGGCUUCUGAUUUCUGGCUUAUAAGCCAAAAGGCACCUAUUUGUGUGAUUUUGGCUUUGGCUUUUGGCUUGUGCCAUCAUGUAACAAUAUCCUGUCAAAAGCCAAAAAGACAAAGCCAAAUCCAAAAGCACAUAAAAGGUGUCUUUUAGCUUACAAGCCAAAAACCAAAUGCCAAAAGUUAAGCGUAACCAAACACCCCCUUAACCAGUUAUAUCUUCCACCAGGCUGUAGAUGAUGGCUAUGGAGCACAUUCCUCGUAUACAUCGAAGUCAUAUGGAGGGUAUGUUGCAACUGAACUAACCAUAAACCCUUUCUCAACUAGUGCUCCUUAGUCCUUCGAUGCAGGAAGUCCUUGAUUUGUAGUUACUACUUGGUGUCUGUUUGCAUCCUUACCAUUAUAAUUUUUUUGCUGAUUACCAUUGGCCAGACGACGCCCGGAUAUUGAAAUGAUUAUUCCUGCUAGUGGCCUGUCGAAAGUAAUCGGGAAGCGUGGCACAAACUUGGACAAUAUUAGAAAGGUCAGCUAUUUCAUAUUGCUGGUGUCUUACACUUUGAAUUAACAUAGCUAUGAUGUGAGUUCAACAUGUACUGAAGGUGCAUAAAUGAGAUUCAGGUAGAUAUAGGAUUUUUUUUAUAAAUAAAACCAAAAUUGGCUACCUUGAAACCCCUCCAGUGAUUAUGGGGUGCUAUUUGCUAUACCCUGUAAUAUUAAAUCCUAUAGUUAAUGCUCCCUCUGCUUUGCAAUAUCUCUACCCCAUUUGCACGCUUGGGAGGCAAAAAGGUUGAGUGCUACCUGGGUGGAAUUUAUCAUUCUUGCUUUCAUGAGAUUGAUGUAUACUAAUCUAUCAAGUGGGAGCAAGUAUGGUAUGGUUCCAUCAAAUAUCACUUCAAUGUUGUUCCGCCAGGUAUCUACACCGACCAUGCGGGGUUGAUAUCGUGAAACUGUGGUAGUCUGUAGAAGAAUACGCUACCUUAUAUUUGAUCAUUUGACUCUUCUCAUGAUUUUUUAAAAAGGUUACCCUUGGUUAGGAUGCAAUGUAUUAUGUGUAUGCAAUACUAAGACAGAAUUGUUCUAAAGUAACCUUUGUUGAGAAUGUAAUAUUAGCAGGAUUAACAUGGAUGAACAUAUGGGGAAAAGUAUCAGUUAUUAUCUGGCAUCUUCAGUGGUCAAUUUUUAGAUACGUUUCAUUAACAUUGACAUGCAAUUCUCGGGUAUUAUUGCAGAUUUCUGGAGCUGACAUUGAAAUUAUUGAGUCAAAAUCAUCUCGUCAUGACCAUGUUGCUCAUAUAUCUGGCACCCCUGAGCAAAGGCAGUCGGCAGAGAAUUUGAUCAGAGCUUUCAUAAUGUCUACUUAAGGUUCUGGUUGUAGUUCGAAGGAAAGGAUAUAGCUGUGCGCCCAGUCUGUGCUAUUAUUAGACUUCUCCCAGAAAAUAACUUAUCCCAUCCCGUAAUUUCCUUAGCUUGGGAAAGUACAUGAAAAACAGUGUUUUGUGUCCCUGAAGUCUCCAAUGAACCUCAUACUUAUCUGGGGAAAGACAAGUCGCUCUUUAGGUUCUCAACCAUGGCUUAUUUGCUGUUGACUUGUUCGUGUUAUUUGGCAUGUUCUGACAUUCCUGCAAAUCUCAAUGACUGGUUCCUCUGCUUAGUACAUGUUAUUUCAUAGCUGAUUAUUUGUCAUAUCAGCAAUAAUAGCUGAUUCCUACGCUGAUUCCUUGUCCUAUCAGCGAUAAUAGCUGAUUCCUGCUGGUCUGACAGGGAGCCCUUUUUCUACUAUGGUUCCUCUGCUUGGUAUAGGUUAUUUCAUACUUCAGCUGAUUCUUUGUCCUAUCAGCGAUAAUAGCUGAUUCUUUCUGGUCUGAUAGGAAGCCCUUUUUCUACUAAUCUAUGAUAGUCUUGAAUCACAACAUGCAUUUUAGUGUUUUGCAUGGUGUCAAGAUCAUCUUCGAGACAUCCAAUGUUUAAUCUAACACUUCAACUCGGUCUGGCUCUGCACUGCCCUGUUUUAUCAUCUUCUCCAGGUUCUUUUUUCUCUGAUAUGGUUACUAUUUUUGACAAUUCAUCAACUGUGUGUAUAUAGUAGGAAGCUAGAUAGGGUGGUAGUCGUAGCAACCCCUUGUACAGGUAUGCAUAGGCGAUGCAGUUGAUUGGAGGGAAAGGUUAUUCGAACCUGCAGUUGCUACUGGUGAAAUGACAUUAGCUGAGUUCUUCCCCUUGUAAAUAGACUAACAUGAGAUGCUAAAAUUUUGUAGCAAUCAGCUGAUUAUUUGCCCCCCAGUUUCCUCUUGUUAAUCAAGUGUUCUGUGCUGAGUGGCUUACCAUUAACCGUUCUCUUAUUCAUGACAUAUCGCACAAAUUUUCGUCAGUAAAACGUUGCGUUGUGGCCCAGCUAAAUAGCUAAUCCCCCUACACUUAGCUACUCUUUGGAUAAUAAGAUUUUGUAAGGAAAAAUAGAGGAUUUCAAUACUAAGGAAUAAUUCUUCUAGAUGACAUUUGGAUCGUAGGACUUGCUCCAAAGGAAUUUCAUAGCCAAAGUAAUUUCAUAGGAUAGGAUUUUUUUUCUCCAAAUUUUGGAGGAAUCCAAGCAUGAGGUUGAAAAUUUCCUUUGAAAGUUUUGAUGCAUCUUCUCUCUAUCUCUCUCCUCUCUUCCUUCGUCUAGUUUCAAAAUUACUAUUCCUCAAUCUAACAAAGGAUGUCUCAACUUUGACUAAAUUUGAAUGCAUUUAUACACUAAAUCAUGUGUAGAUACAUCCAAAUUUUGAUAAACUUCAGACAUUUUUUGCUGGACGGAGGGGAAUAUGUUUAUUCAAACUCUUUUUUUUUAACAAUUUUUAUGUUUUGAAUUCCCUAUAGUAUUCAAAAUGCCAUGGCAUUCCAAUCCUAGGUUUUCUCUAUCCCUAUGAUUUUUGCAAUCUUACAAUCCAAAGAGGUGCCCUAAGCUGGUACUCACAGUUUGUCUCUAUGCUUGCCAUAAAACCAUUCGUUGGAGUAGUAGUAAAAGGACAAAGUACUCCAACGCGCUUCGCUUUCGGUUCCCUUUUGUGUACCUAGCAUUCGAUUUUAGAUGGUACUGUACGUACUCAAGUUAAAACGCUAGCCACAUCUUAUUUGGGGCCUAGCCACGUCGUGUGGUUUUUUUUCAAGCUCUUCGAGCAAGGUGUGCAUCAUUUACCCGCAAAAAAAGAAGCAUUUUAAUUUGCUGGGUGAGAAAAUUCUACCACGCGAGUGCACGGCCGACCGAGGGAUCCCGAGAGGAUAACGUAGCGGCAGCGGGCCACACGGGCGCCGCCACGUGGCGCAGUGUCUGGCCACAUCGGCGUUAUCUCAUCGGAGGGUGGACGGAGUAUAUUGGCCAGUGGCUGGAGUACCCCCCGCGCGCCAUUGUUCAGAGUUCUUGUCCAAGUGAAGUGAGCACCACUGCUGCAGAGAGAGAGAUCGAGAUGGCAGCGUCCAUGAUCACGUCGCCUCUGGUGGCGCCGACGAGCCUGCCGUCGCUGUCGCGGCGGGGCUCCAACUUCGCCGUCGUCUGCAGCGGCGGCAAGAAGAUCAAGGUCGACAAGCCCCUCGGUGAGAGCUAUAUACCCAGCCAGGCUUCCCGUGACAUCUUUGUUUAAUACUCCCUCAGUCCAUUCAAAUUUAACCAAAUAUGAAUGCAUUUACGUCUAAAAAAUGCUAGAUACAUCUAACAAUUUUGUCCAAAUAUGAUUGUAUUUACGUCUAAAAAAUGGUUAAAUACAUCUAAUAGAAAGUUACUUAAUAUGGGACGGAGGGAAUACUCUCUUCGAUCCUAAAUUGUUUUCAUUAUUUUAGUUCAACGGGGGAGUAUUAAUCAAUCCGAUGUGAAUUCAUUCUUGGUUUGGUUUGGUUUUAUUAAUCAUCCAAUGAGACUAAUUGUUUGUUUUUGUGCAGGGAUCGGAGGUGGCUUGACGGUGGACAUCGACGCCAACGGCAGGAAGGGCACGGUUAGAUUGAUGCUUCCCAAACACUUCCUCUCUUUUUUCUUGUUACACGUACACCUGCACAUGUACUGUGUGUGCGAGUUCACUAUACAGACAAACUAGCUAGCUAGAAACAAAUAGAUUUUGUGGAUAGUUUGCAAGUUCGCAUAUUACUACUUCAAAUAUACACGAUUUUGAACAAGCGGUCAGUGAAUUGGUCUGACCGUAAAAUCUUCUUCUCUUCAUGCAGGGAAAGGGUGUGUACCAGUUUGUUGACAAGUACGGCGCCAACGUCGACGGCUACAGGUAAACUAUAUACGUACUCCUGAGAUGUAUAUGAGCCAGAUCCGGAUUUUUUUUUUGAGAAUAAGAGCCAGAUCCGGAUGAAAGAUUAGUACGGAGUACUUAAUUUGGCCCAUCCUUAGUAAUCUUGUGGCCCAUUUGCAGCCCGAUCUACACGCCGGAGGUAUGGUCCGAAUCUGGCGACCGCUACGCCGGUGGUGAGUAAUUUCACAUUACCCUCCACAUGCCUAUAUAUAAGUAGAAUUAUGGAUUCGCUCAAAAAAAAGUAGAAUUAUGGAUUAAAAUGCAUGUGUUUAAACGUUGUUUGUUUAAGAGCAUCAUCAGCAGCUUGUGUGAAUUCGGUUGUCUAUAUCUCAAUAUAGACAAUGGUCUAAAAAGAUUCUCUUUUAAAAUGUUACAAUCCUUCAGCAGCUUGUCUAUAUGCAAGUCGUUUAUAUUCUCUUUACUAUCUUCAUACCUAGUGGGCAUUUGGACAUCGUGACUGGAUCGUCUAUAUACAAAAAUUGUGGACAGAAAUUUGGACGAUGUCUAAAUUUAGACGAGCACGUAGACAAGCUGUUGGAGCCUUACUUUGUACUUUGGUCGUCUAAAUGGCACAUAGACAACCAUAUACACAGGCUGCUGAGGAUACUCUUAGGCUCAGUUUGAAGUUGCUAAACUGUCAUGUGCUGAAUUUAUUUUUGUAACUUGUACACACAAAACUAAGAAAAAGUUUGUUAACCAAACUGAAUUAUUUUGUGAUUGCCUUAAGAGUUGGAAACUCUUGCUCGCAAGAAAACAGUACUACCUCUAAUACUAAAUUCUUGUCGUUAUUUUAGUGCAAAUUUAAACUAAACCAACGACAAAAAUUUAGGAUCGGAGGGAGUACUAUUCGGAGAUACCUAUGAAGUAGUAGCAGAGGAUGCAUGAGAGUAACAAGGGCUUCAUUAGCACCUGAUAUUUAUUUGUUUUACCGUACAUAUCUUAAAAUAGUGUACAACUUUACAAAGUGACGUACAGAAUAUAACAAGGGGUUUCCCAAAACUUAUCAUGAUUCCUUAGAACAAGAAGAUUAGCGCUAUUGGAAUAAGAUACACAGAAAAAUUAAGAUUACACCUUUGGAUUAGUAGAUCAUUUAAAAUAAAAACUCUAGUUCAAAUUCAGUGUAUCGAUCCAAACAAUUAAGUCUUACUCCCUCUGUUCCUGAAUUCCUGAUUCAAAUUUGUCCAAAUAUGGAUAUGCAUCUUUUCUUAAAAAACGUCUAUAUACAUGUAAUAUUUCGACAACAAUUUAGAAUCGGAGGGAGUACGUGGCAACUGAAAUGAGCUACCAUAAAUUAGGGUUUUUAUGAUAUCCGGGUGGACAUGCACCUUUGGAAUUAUUUGUCGAAUAUAUAUGUUGCAUUGCUAACUCGAUCUUGCAUGUCCGUGUUAUAAUUCGCAGGGACGACGGGGCUCCUGAUCUGGGCCGUCACCCUGGCCGGCCUCCUCGGCGGCGGCGCCCUCCUCGUCUACAACACCAGCGCUCUCGCCGGCUAAUUAAGAAUCAAGUCAUCUCAUUCUCAUCUAUGCAAUUGCAAACACAACACAGGGCCGGGUAUCUCUCUGCAUGUACGUAUGCCUGUAAUGUACGUAGCUACCUGCUGUGAAAUGUACGUAUGUGAUCGAUGAUGCCAAGUACUUGAUCGAAACGCAUCGCUUAAUUUUAUGUAUGUAUAACACUUGCUACUACGUACACACUUCCUACUUUGGGAUUAUCAUUGAUGCAAACAUACUUUUUUUUUGCUAGAAAACAUAUACUUUAAUUAGACUAUAAGUUUGGCC
rnacentral:lncRNA from 1 species